rnacentral:lncRNA from 1 species
AAGUUAGGGUGUGUCUUGAGCCCUGCAUGUGAUACUGUGAGCUGCUGCAGCAGCCAGGAAGUUUAAUCCCUGGGCAUUGUCCGGGGUAACCUGAAUCAUGUGUUGUUGUUGUUGAUCGGUUGCUACUGCAAGUCAGUAGUAACAUGUGUGUGUGUGUGCGCUGACUGCUGACUUUUGUAUGUUGCUAUCAUACUUCAGAAUUUUAUUUAUGCCUGUGCGAAUGGUCUCUGUGCUGGGAAAGUGAUUUUGUUGGCUGAAUGAUGCAAGGAGAUUCCGACUUGGUGCUUCAACUGCUUCCAUCUGACUUACUGUAGUGUUUUUCUUUUCUAAAUGUUAGUCCACACACUUGCUGAAUCUUGAAUCUUCGUUGACAGUCAGCGGUUCAGGGCUUGCAUUGCUACAAGGUCAUCCGUCCCAAUGAUCACAUGGAUCGUCCCUCUUCUUUUCGUUCGUCCUUCGAAUGUCGACGGAUUUGUGAAGUUCUUAAGCGUGGAUGCUGAUUGGUGCGCUCCCCUCCCCCCCCACCCACCCACACACACGAGCGCCAGAGGAGGCGGAGGGGGCGGCGGAACCCUAGCCGCCGGUCCAGGCCACCAUCCUUGCCCCCUCAUGUCCUUGUUGCAGCCUCGGUGCGCUGACGGGCAAAGCCUGGCUAGCAUCGGCGACAGAGGGGUGCCUUCCUUCGCUCGUUCGGCGCUUGGUGGCGCAACGUGUGGACGAGAUGUGGCGGCACCACGGCAGCAGCCGGCGGUGGUGGCGCGGGUUGUGGGCGGCGGCAUGAAAGGGUUGUGGUUUGCGGGUUGCGGGGGUGCGCACCAUGUCAUCGGAAGGGAUGGGACGGGUGCGUCUCGGAUCUGCCUUUCCGGGGAUACGGACAGCUCGGCUCGUUGUGGUGACGGGGCUCGGCUUGUCGCUAGUGAUAGCGUGCUUGCCGGCCUCCGGUCAGGCCUAGUCUUGUACUCCGACAAGGGUGUGCGGGCUACGGUCAGCGUGGGUUGGUGACCUUUGUUGCGUACCUGCAGUGGUGGUUGACAGCGAUUGUGGUUUGGUAGGGGCCGCGUUCCGGCUGUGGUGGGUGCACCAAUGAUGGGCGAUGUUGCGGCAGCUCUGGCGACAGUGAUUGGUGUGCGAGUGGUGGUGGCUCCUUUCUUCUCAUGGGUUCGGGCCGGCAUGGGAUGUCCGCGUGGUGGAGAUGUCCAGGACCUGGGGCUCGUGCUCGGGCAGACCAGAUUGGGGCCUGGGGCGGGUCGGAGCUCCUGCUUUGGGUAGGCGAUGGUGGUCUCAGUCCGAGAGAUGCGCACAGGUGAUGUGUGUCGGUGUCAAAACCGGCGGAUCUCGGGUAGGGGGUCCCGAACUGUGUGUCUAAGGUUAAUGGUAACAUGAGACAGGGGACAUGAUGUUUACCCAGGUUCGGGCCCUCUCUAUGGAGGUAAUACCCUACGUCCUGCUUGAUUGAUAUUGAUGAAUACGAGUAUUACAAGAGUUGAUCUACCUCGAGAUCGUAAUGGCUAAACCCUAGAGGUAUAGCUUGUAUGGCUAUGGUAAUAAAUAUCUCCUCCUCUCUGGACUAAGUCCUCUGGUUUAUAUAGACAUCGGGGAGAUCUAGGGUUACACAAGAUCGGUUACAAAGAAAGAAAUCUACAUAUUCGGUCGCCAAGCUUGCCUUCCACGCCAAGGAGAGUCCCAUUCGGACACGGGUGCAGUCUUCGGUCUUCAUAUCUUCACAGCCCAUCAGUCCGGCCCAUGGCUAACAGGUCGGACGCCCGAGGACCCCUUAGUCCAGGACUCUCCCAGUAGCCCCCAAACCAGUCUUCAAUGACGAGGUGUUCGACACAUAGAUUAUCUUCGGCACUGCAAGGCGGGUUCCUCCACCGAUGACUUCCGAGUAGUGUGUUCGGCAUUCCAUUUAAUGUUGUACUCCUCGACUUCUAUGCAUCAACAACUUCAGUUUCCACGUGUCGAGCGAAUGCGAGAGGUCAGGGUAUUUUUGCAUAUACCACCCCGACCGUGCCACAAAUAUGCCUAUUUAAAGAGAAUAGAUCUCAGAUCCAUUCCACACCCCGCGAAAAAUCCUCAGAGCUUGCUAAGAAAAACCACCCCAACAUGGCUAGCGCUCCCGGCUCUUCCUCUCGUCCCCACGGCUCCAAGAAGGGUGAUUGGGAGAGAUGUUCUGUAUCCCACAGUCAGCUGGCGAAGCUGCAAACGCAGGGCUUUCUUCCCCCCGCGGACUUGGUCCCCGUACGAGCAGGGAUGACGUCCUUCAAGGGCAGGGCUCAAACGGAGAGCUUCCCCAAUCCGUCCAAGGGAGAGCGAGUAUGCUUCGUCCCCUUCUUGUUAAGAGGUGUUGGAUUUCCGAUCCAUCCCUUCCUCCGAGGUUUGCUGGAGUAUUACGGCCUCCAACUGCACAGUCUCACUCCCGCCUCUAUCCUCAUAUUGCGGGUUACGUCGCUUUAUGCGAGCUAUUCCUGGGCUGCGAGGCCCAUUUCGAUUUAUGGAGGAGACUGUUCUUCGAUUUAUGGAGCAAUAUAUAUAAUGAUGUAUGGAGUUAUAGCUGUGUCAUACCUCAAAUAUUUGUAUCUUGAGACUGGCCCGACAGGGGGCUGACGGACAAUUGCUUUUUUCCUAACAGACUGACCGUGUACUUGAUUUCUUCAGCGAGUAUACCGGGUCUGAGCUGAUUAUUCGGCUUUUGACUUUCUCAUUUUGUCGGUAUACCCAUCUUUGGUAAUACGUUGUGAUAUGUUUUAUCACUGCCGCUGAGGUUAAACUGUUGAGGUUGUAAAGGAAUCUUGGAUCUGACAGAACAGACUUGGAGAUUCCACACUAAUCAUGUCAAGCAAGUUAGCGGGAUAUGAAAAUCCUUGUAAAUAGAGUAGGCCGCUGAAGGUGUAUGUCUUUGUGGAUCCAUAUGGAAUUAUGGCCUCCAACUGACUUGGGUAUCCGGACCCUGAUGGUCGUGCAAAAAUCAUCAUACCUUUGUUGUCAGUCUCACCUUUUAACGGUCAUGAUUUUCUUUGUCAGGAUACCUUACUAAAAUAACUUGACCACACCUGUCCUUGAUUCUUCGUAUGACCAGGGACGUGAUUAGUGCAAUAUGGUUGGCAUUAUUCCUUUGUGCCUGUUUUCUGACCUGAGUCCGCACACAUAUGACAUAUGUUCGUUGCUUGUAGCUGUACAAAGCUCUUUGUUGAGUCCAAUCAUAUAAGAGGGUGACAAGGUUUCCUGAUCUCACCUUGCCUGGUGCGGGAAUAAUGACCUUGAUGACCAUUGGCAGCACUGGGGAAUCUGUUAUGUCAUCCCCAGAUCUUGUCGAUCAUGGUAUUACAUGAGAUGUAUCUCUGCACAUUUUCCUUUGCCUGACUCGUGAGGUUGUGGGAUCUGUACUUUCCUUAGGUAUAUCUAUUGGAUCCUUGCCGCAUCUCGUAUGAGUGACUGAUGAGACUGGGGAUGCAUGCCCACCAUAUAUAAAAAUCAUAUGCAACCAAACACUUGAUUCUUGCGGUAGGCAUAUGUUUUGACUGUAUUGUACCUCCGACAAAAAAUAUUGCAAAUCUGAUCCUUGAUCUGCAGAGAAAAGCCAUUCGUGUAGCUUGCCGAGGAAGGCCCAUUAGCUUCUGCUCGAAGCUUUUUGUUUGGGUAGCAUGCAGAAGAAGCCUCGAUAGCUUACACAUGAAGCUUGACAUGAGUAUUGUGUAGGAGAAGCCUGAGUUCCGUACUUGAGAAGCUUCUCCUCGGUUUUGCUUGUUGAGAAAAAUUCAUUUCUGUCUGUCAGAAGCUUUUACCGAGGUAUCUUGUUGAGAAAGACCGGAUUUCUUGGACCGGAAAUUAUUCACAUAUCAUGCUAAGGAGCCUUGCAUCAUAAAUUUCUUCCGAUAACGUGUGGAAGAAUACUGAGUUUCUUAUAUCCAAAACUUCAUACUGAUAUGCAGACUGAAAUCCACACACAUAGACACCCAUGAUAUUCUAUGGCUGAAUAUUUACAUGAGAAAAUUUGUUUAACUGUCUUCCUUGAGCAUAUCACAUUCUGACUUUAUUUCGAAUGAUAACAUAUUACAAGCAUCAGGCAUUGCUGAGCCAAAAUUUUGUAUAUGACCCAUACCUUUGACUGAAAAUAUACCGUUGAUCUUGUACCUGACCUGUCUUUCUGCUGGCUAGAUCAUUACUGCUGUGAGGAUUUUAUACUGAUAUAGACUUGAGUUAUUAGUACUGUUGUGAGGAGUGCACACUAAUGCAAAAUUUCAUUAUCAGCCUCACGAUCAGAUAUUCCCCAUUUUACUGGAGUCGGCUGAGAAUUCCAUUCUGUUUAUCUGAGCUUCCAAAUAUUUGAACUCCUUAUUACUUCUUCGAGUCCGGUGUCAGAUGAUGAGCAACUCUUUAUAGGGGGAAAAUAAUGUAACACCGGGGCCCAAAAGAAAGAAGCAAAAGAAAACUCAACUAAACAAAAGCACACAACAACAAUCAAUUCACACACAAUCAGUGUCACAUAUUACUUCUAGUCACACAAUAUGCAUGCCUACUUAAGCACACAAAUAUCGCGGGAUCUCUGGUACUACGAUCUAGCAUGCUGUGAGGAUGUGCACGAGGACGAAUAAAUGUGUGGAGGAAUUGGUGUGAACAGCGCUACACCAAGUGCUAGCUUAGCCAGGUAGCAACCUGGACUAGCUCGGAGGCGAGGACGUACUUGGUAACCAUGUAGCAGGACACGAAUGUCGUGACCACAUUAUUAUCUAGCGGACGGAAAAUAUCCGUACUCGUCCAAGAAAUAAGGAUAGCGGGGAAACUGAGUCUGCUGGCAUUGCCCUUUCUUGAUAACUAAGACCAUUAAGGGUUGCCAUCACGACAAGAAAAAGGACGAUCCGGGGUAGAAACAUGUCAACCACCGAGACAAAACGGGGCUGAAGGAAGGAAUUCGACGCGAUAGCGGAGCACCAUUUUUGCCAACAGUGUCAGGAUCACUUGGCAUCACUCUGCUGGGAUAGAAAUGACACCAAGCACCGAAGAACAAGCAAGAAAAGAAAACCGGGGAAUGCAAAGACUGAGCUGUAGUGGAUCUGAACCGAUGCCAUCUACACUCACCAAAUAAAUCGUCAGCAGCCAAUAAUAAGGCUAUAUGCAUGCUGUGCAACAAACAAAUGCAGCAACCAUAUGCAAUAAACAAGCCAAACUCUAUACUACAGAUUUCUACUGGUUUCUACCGCUCAUGCUGACUAGGGCGUCCUAUAGCCAGACCUGCUCUCAUACCAAGCCUGUGGCACCCCGACUCAGAGAAACCAGAACGCCCCGUAUUCCAGCCCAGAGAUCAAGGAGAAGUCUCUGGAAUACGACACUGCUUGACAUAGAACAAAUUAGCUCUUAUUACAAGAAUAAUAAUACAAGGGUAUGAUGUUACAAAGAAACACAUCAGCAUGGCGACACUACGCCUGCGAUACUACACUUGCUCUAUGCUAGCAGCGAAACAACUCGUAGCAGCGGAAUACUUCUAGCAGCAGAACAACGACGAAGGUGGUGAACUCCACUCCGCAGGGACUCUGGCUGGGACACGAUCUAGCUCGCACGCACGGCAUCCAUCGACAAAAUUCAAGCAAUCAUGGCAUCACCUGCAAUCUGGCAUGACACGCCAGGUCAGUACAUUGAAUGUACUUGCAAGCUCACAACAACCAUAAACAUCAAGGCAAGACAAUAACAUAGCAUUUAACAGGUUAAUUAAAUUAACAACCAUUAUGAUGAAACAACUACCAAGCAUGGUAUGAAACUAAUACAAUACUGAUAAAUCACCAUCUUAGAUCUCCAUAACCAUAUCUCUCUUGGCUAACCGGCCAAGCAGUAUACCAUCUCGAUCACCUUGUGAUCAAAACCAAACGGUGAUCAUUCCGGCGAUCACAACCAUGACCAACACUUGGCCUCAAUGGUGAUCUUUCCGGCGAUCACUACCAUGACCAACACUUGGUCUCCAACAUCAACAUCCUGCCAAUCUGUACUGCUCAACAUACCAACAUAUAAAUAUAUCACCUAUAAGUCAUUCUGUCAUGUGAGUGUUGAUCGAACGGUGUGACCUAGUACGAACCCUUGCCCAUGACCGAGGACGCGACUAUCGAUAGAUUUAAAUACACUAUGUAGAGGUAGCACACUGUACCCACACCACGGAACCCAUGGCCUCGCACUCCCAUUCGGGUGGACCAACGGCGUUCCGACAAAACCGAUCUACUGCCAUGACACUCUCCCGUCCACUCCGACCGACUCCCAACUGGGCUAGUCCUGGGUGGCCCCGUGUCUACCAAAGACACAAUGACCACCGCCGUGGCCAAAACGUCCCUCACGGGGACCGUGCACAUAACAACAACAACGGGCACACAAGGCUUAUGUCCGCCUACCUGAUCAGGGUAGCCGGCAAUCUCAUUUGUGAUAAGAGCAAGCCUAGAGUACAUUUCAGUGGCACCUUCACCAUCCUUCAUUUUGAACUUGUCAAGUUGACUUUGAAGCACAUCCAACUUGGAUUCCUUGACGGAGUCGGUACCUUCGUGCAUAUCAAUCAAAGUAUCCCAAAUUUCCUUUGCAUUCUCAAGACGACUGAUUUUGUUGAAUUCUUCAGGGCACAAUCCGUUGAAGAGGAUAUCACAAGCUUGAGCAUUGUAUUGCAGCAUCUUCAACUCUUCCACGGUAGCUUCACGAUUUGGUUCUCUCCCAUCAAAGAAUUCACCUUGCAAGCCAACACACACAAUAGCCCAAAUGGCAGGGUUAUGUCCAAGAAUAUGCAUUUUCAUCUUAUGCUUCCAACUAGCAAAAUUAGUACCAUCAAAGUAAGGACCUCUAUGGUGGUAAUUUCCCUCGCUAGACGCCAUACUAUCCUAGGUUGUGAAACCAAGGCUAUGACUUCCAAAAGCUAUGAAAAUCAAGGCAGAUGGAUACCAAAGCUCUGAUACCACUUGUAGGAUCAAAAGUAUGUCUAGAGGGGGGUGAUUAGACUACUUGACCAAAUAAAAAUCUAGCCUUUUCCCAAUUUUAGUUCUUGGCAUAUUUUAGCAACUAUGGACAAGUCAAGCAAUCUUAACACAGUUCAAGCAAGCAUGCAAAGAGUAUAUGAGCAGCGGAAAGUAAAGCAUGUAACUUGCAAGAAUGUAAAGGGAAGGGUUUGGAGGAUUCAAACGCAAUUGGAGACACGGAUGUUUUUGUCGUGGUUCCGAUAGGUGGUGCUAUCGUACAUCCACGUUGAUGGAGACUUCAACCCAUGAAGGGUAACGGUUGCGCGAGUCCACGGAGGGCUCCACCCACGAAGGGUCCACGAAGAAGCAACCUUGUCUAUCCCACCAUGGCCAUCGCCCACGAAGGACUUGCCUCACUAGCAGUAGAUCUUCAUGAAGUAGGCAAUCUCCUUGCCCUUACAAACUCCUUGGUUCAACUCCACAAUCUUGUCGGAGGCUCCCAAGUGACACCUAGCCAAUCUAGGAGACACCACUCUCCAAGAAGUAACAAAUGGUGUGUUGAUGAUGAACUCCUUGAUCUUGUGCUUCAAAUGAUAGUCUCCCCAACACUCAACUCUCUCUCUCAUAGGAUAUGGAUUUGGUGGAAAGAAGAUUUGAGUGGAAAGCAACUUGGGGAAGGCUAGAGAUCAAAAUUCAUAUGGUAGCAAUGGAAUAUCUUGGUCUCAACACAAGUGUAGGUGGUUCUCUCUCAAAAAAUAUAGGUUGGAAGUGUAGGUUUGUUCUGAUGGCUCUCUCCAUGAAUGAAGAGGAGGUGGAGGGGUAUAUAUAGCCUCCACACAAAAUCUAACCGUUACACAUAACUUCCCAAACUCGGUGGGACCGAAUGGUUAAACUCGAUCUGACCGAUUCAGCAAAGCUAGUGACCGUUAGGGUUUUCGGUGGGACCGACGUGCAACUCGGUAUGACCGAUAUGAUUAGGGUUAGGGAAUAACGUAAUCUCGGUGAGACCGAUUACACAAACUCGGUAAGACCGAUUUUUGUAAUAAGCUAACCAGAGAGUUGGUCAGGUAAACUUGGUGGGACCGAUCGCUCAUUUCGGUGAGACCGAAACAUUACGAAGGGAGAACAGAGAGUUUACAUUGCAAUCUCGGUGGGACCGAUCGCUCAUCUCGGUGAGACCGAAAUGUUACGAAGGGAAACAGAGAGAUUACAACCCCAUCUUGGUGAGACCGAGAUCCCUAUCAGUGAGACCGAUUUGCCUAGGGUUUGUGGCAGUGGCUAAGACAUUUGAAACUCGGUGGCACCAGAUAGAAAGAAUCGGUGGGGCCGAGUUUGACUUUUGGUUUAGGUCAUAUGUGGAUGCGAGAAAGUAGUUGAGAGCUUUGGAGCAUAUCACUAAGCAUUUGAGCAAGAACCUCAUUAAGCAACACCUCAUCCCUCCUUGAUAGUAUUGGCUUUUCCUAUAGACUCAAUGUGAUCUUGGAUCACUACAAUAGAAAAUGUAGAGUCUUGAGCUUUGAGCUUGAGCCAAUCCUUUGUCCUUAGCAUUUUGAGGGGUCCACUUUUCUCAUCCAUGCCAUGCCAAUCAUUCAGCUUUCCUGAGAUAUUAAUCUUGAAAUAGCAUUAGCUCAAUGAGCUAUAUGUUGUUAGGAAUUACCAAAACCACCUAGGGAUAGUUGCACUUUCAAUCUCCCCCUUUUUGGUAAUUGAUGACAACAUAUAGAUCAAAGCUUCGACAAAUGAUAAUAAGAGUGAAAAAUAUUGUCGCUUUGAGAAGUAUGUGAAAAGCAAGAGCUCCCCCUAAAUUUGUGCAUAGUUUAAGAUUUGCUUUGGACUACAAUUGCACAAAGAGUUAGGAUCAUGGGUUACUCUUCCAUGUCACAUACAUCUUGGUGGAGCGCUCAAAAUGAUAAUAAUUAAAAUACAUGCACUCAUCACCAAGCAAAAUGAAUGAUCACAUAAAAGGAUAAUGUCAUCCAACAAGCAUUAAGGUAGUAUAUGAUCAAACACAUGAUCAUCUAAGCAAGCACAAAGUAUGAAGUAUCUCAACCAAGCAAAUAAAUGAAGUUUAACCACCAAACAAAAAGAGAGAAUAAAAAGCAACGCUCUCUCUCAAAGCCUAUGAUCUAUACAUUUUCUCCCCCUUUGGCAACAAGUUACCAAAAAGUUCAUAAAAAUGCAUAGUGCUAGAUCGACACUUAGGCUCGGUCUUCAUGUGGUGGUGUAGACAGAACUCCAAGAACGAAGGCAUCCUUCGAUGUAGAUGGAGCUGGUGGAGUAGAUGCUGGAGCCGGUGGCACUGAAGUUGUAGCUGGUGCAGAUGAAGUAGCUCUGGUGUCUGGAAUAGGCACUGCAGCAGACCUCUGACCUCUGGGCACUCUAGCAAAAGCAUCAGUGGUUGUCUUGCCCUUCUUCUCCUCCACUUCAUCCUGAAGUUUCUCAACGACUGACUGGAUCUCGGUGACAUUCACAUCUAAGUCAUAGAACUUCUGCUCCACGAUCCUCUCCAAGCUCUCCUGGUUUUGAGUCAGGGUGGCCAGUCCCUUCUCAAUCCUCAGAGUGGAGGCAAUGAAGUAGCCAAGAUGAUCUUGCUUUCUCUUCAGAAGGUACUGAGAUGCUUCUUCAGUAGUUGGCAUCCUUGCAGCCAUUUCAGCCUUUGCCUUCUCCUUCUUGGCUUGUGCGUGCACAGAAGAUGGUUCAUUUUCAUCCAUCACCACAGUGUUGUCCUCAAAGUCUGGGUAGAUGGGCAGAUGCUGCUUGUCCAGCAGAUAUGUGCCAGUGCCCAUCUUGGAGUUGAUCAGCUCCUGGAUCUGUGGGGCAUAGCCACAACUCCUCUUCUGAUCUGCAGUUGUCCUCUUUAUGGUUUCCACUAUUAGGCUCAUGACUUUGAACUUCUGUGGGACAUCAAAGAGGUGAAGCAAGUUAAUUGCAUGGCCUCUGAUCUUCUUGUGAUCACCUGACUUUGGCAAGAGAGUGUGCCUGAGGAUCUAGUUAAUAGUUGGCAAGCCUGACAAAAGGUAAUGUAUAGAUCCAAACUUGUGUGUUUCAAGAGCAGCAUCUGGGAUCUCCUUGUACAUGUGUGCCAUCAUGUUGUGAUGCUUCUUCUUCUUGGCAUAGACAUCCAAGUCAUCUUCACUCUCUUCUGGGGCAUUGAUCAACUUAGCCCAUUCUACAACUGUGGACUGGUACCUCGUACCUUCAGACAUCCAGACAAUCCUUCCAUCUGGGUAGAAGUGAGCUGUGGAGUAGAACUAUAUGAUGAGCUCAUCAUUCCAUUUUGUGAGCUUCUGAGCCACAAACUCAUCAACUCCACAAGCCUUGAAGCUAUCAUAUACACUAGGGAAGUGAUCCUCAUUUUCCUCAAUGAAUUUUCAAUCAACCCAUCUCAUGUCACACACUAUGGGCUUCUUGUCAAGCAAGAUGGUCUCAUAGAAGUCCUGAUGUUCCUUUGUAUGGAACCUGUAGUCCACAGCAGUCCUUCUCCUGGUGGCAUAUGGAUCAGACUCUCUCCAUAGCCUUAGACCAAAGUCCUUCCUGACUUUCAUGUUCUCUGCAACUGGAUGAGCAUCAUUGUGAUCUAGAAUUUUUGGCUUCAACUUCCUCAAGACAAUAGAAUCAUCUUCUUCUUCCAUUGCAGCUUCAGGCAUUGGGGCCUUGUUCUUCUCUGCUGCUGGGAUGUUCCUGGUGCUCCUCUUGGGUGCAGUUUUGGGUUUUGGAGCAGCUGGCUUAGGAGUUCUUUUGGGCUUAGAUGGAGAAGCCCCUGAUCUUAUGGCAUCUCCCAUAAGCUUUUGAGCUUUAGGUGCUGGUGCAGCAUCCUCUUCCUCUUCCUCUUCUUCAGAGUCUUUCAUGACUGAAGAUCUCCCAAGCACUCUGGCAGUGGUCUUCUUGACCCUCUCUUUCCUUUUCUUUUCUGCCACAACCUGCUCUUUGGGUGCAGAUCCCAAAGUCUCUUGAGUGGAUGCUCUGGCUUUAGACGUUGGAGCUCUCUUGGCAGGAACCUUUUGCUUCAUCCCUGGCUUGGUGGCAGCAGCUGUGCCAUAUUCCUUCUUCAGGACUUUCCUCUUUGAGGUGGUUUCUUCUUCCUCAACCACAUAGUUCUCAUCCUCUGACUCUGAGGUUCUUUUCUUGCUGGCCCUUGUGGCAGCUUUUGGCAGAUUGCUAGGUGUGCUCCUGCUUCCAUCAUCUGAGCUGCUAGAGGGACUAGUGCCCUCACUCAAGUGAACCUGUUCCUCUGACUUGUUCUGACUAUCACUCUAAUCUGACAUGAUGCAAACACUGACAGCAGACCCUGUGAAUAGAUUAUAGAUGAGGUAGAGUGGAUGAGCAUCACAAAGUACAGAGGUUUUUGCAAAAGAAUGAAUUAAAAACUUAGUUUUAGUUUUCUAUAGAAAGCAUUUCGGAUCUACCGAUUUGCAAACUCGGUGAUACCGAAGGAGCUUUUGGAACCUAAACUAGUGAACUCGGUCAGACCGAGUCACAGUUCGGUGGCACCGAGACUGCUAGGGUUUCACAAAGUGCCGAACUCGGUCACACCAAUUUGCAAUUCUCGGUCAGACCGAGAAUCACAUGUGCAAUGGCCUGAGCCAAAUCGGUGGAACCGAUUUCAACAACUCGGUCGGUCCGAGAUGGUUUUGGUGGAAACCUAACCCUAAAUUUGCAAUUCACGACUAAACUACGGAGUGUUUUCGAUGGAUAGAACGAUCUCAAUCGUGGCAAGAUACAUGUCAAAGCAAUGUGCUGGGGAAUCGGAGUUAGAACAACACAAAGUUCAAGUCCAUACCCUAGUUCGGCGAUGAAUUUGCUACGGCGGCAACGGCGGAGACGAUCCUGUUGACGGCGGCGGAGACCAGCGACAGGAGGCGGCAGGUGACGAGGAGGAUGAUCCGGAUACCCAGGGAGGCAGAGCAGGCUAAGCGCGGGCGAGGAGGUUCGGAAAGUUUUCCGAAAUUUGACCCGUGGAUAUAUAUAGCCUGACCCUGUCGGUGUGACCGAGUGGAACAACUCGGUGGCACCGAGAUUCAUAACUACAAGCAGUUACUGAAACUCGAUGUGACUGAAAAGUUCAAAUCGGUUGCACCAAGAUUGAAAACCUAGAUCGACUUAGCGAUCUCGGUAUGACCGAAAUGGAUGAAUCGGUUAGACUGAAACACACAAAGAAGUUUUGGAAGUUUAAGUUUAUGACGAAUCGGGGACUCCGAGUGCUCCUCACACGGAGUGGUUCGAAUCUGACUUGAUCAAACUUUGUGAUGCAGCAUGAAUAGAGUUUGAGACGAGAAAAGCAUAGAUAUCUAGAGAAGGUUCUUAGGCAGUCUUAUCCAUCCACUUGGAAAAAGAAAAGGAAACCAACCAAUCAAAACAACAAGUGGAUGUCCUGAAAUGAGUAAAUUAUGCAACCAACAUGCUCACACAAUAAAAUGACAAAUGAAAUAUGUGGCAAAGCAUGCACAAACAAUUAUAGCAUCUAUUAAGCAAUUGGCGAUGACUAGGUCAUCUAUAUAUGAGUAUAUUGACUUAGGAGUCAAAUAGAACAUUUGAUCAUAGGUCAUACUCAUCGUUUAAGCACAAGUGGGGUUACCACUUUUACAUAAAGCGUUGUUGUGUUCACACCAUUAGAGUUGCUUUAACUCAAUUGUUAGAGCAAAGCUCCCCCUAGAUGUGAUAUCCCCCCUAAGAGGGAUGAACUAACCUUGGGUUUUGUCGAUGAUGACUUCAUGUAGGUGUUGAAGAUGUGGAUGCUCUAAGUUGAUGUAGAUCAUUCAGAGCUAUUCUUUGGAGUGAGUUGCACUUUCAAUACCUACACGGGUUAGUCCCACAAGGAACAAACAAGGAUAUCCAUAGGUUAGUCCCACAAGAGGGUUAGUCCCACAAGCAUUAGGUUACCUUGUCCCUUAUCUUACCAACAAGAGGGUUUGUGACUCCUUGAACUAGUGCAAGAUGUGGAAGUUGAUUGCACUUGUUCUUGCCAAAAUGAUAAGAGUGAAGUAUGUUGACAGAGUCACCCUCAAGAACUCUCUAGUUCUUCUUCUUCGGGAGCCACACCAUCUUGAUGGGAAUCCUCAGAGUUGUAGUUGUAGUUGAUGAAGUGGAACUUGAUGUAGUCUUGGGAACUCUCGGUGUCAAAACCGGCGGAUCUCGGAUAGGGGGUCCCGAAUUGUGCAUCUAAGGCGGAUGGUAACAGGAGGCGGGGGACACGAUGUUUACCCAGGUUCGGGCCCUCUUGAUGGAGGUAAUACCCUACGUCCUGCUUGAUUGUUCUUGAUGAUAUGAGUAUUACAAGAGUUGAUCUACCACGAGAUCAAAGAGGCUAAACCCUGGAAGCUAGCCUAUGAUAUGAUUGUCUGUCGUCCUACGGACUAAACCCUCCGGUUUAUAUAGACACCAGAGGGGGCUAGGGUUACACAAGGUCGGUUACAAAGGAGGAGAUAUACAUAUCCGUAUUGCCUAGCUUGCAUUCCAUGCCAAGUAGAGUCCCAUCCGGACAUGGGACGAAGUCUUCAAUCUCGUAUCUUCAUAGUCCAACAGUCCGGCCAAAGGAUAUAGUCCGGCUGUACGGAGACCCCCCAAUCCAGGACUCCCUCAGUAGCCCCUGAACCAGGCUUCAAUGACGAUAAGUCCGGCGCGCAGUAUUGUCUUCGGCAUUGCAAGGUGGGUUCUUCUCCAAAUCUUGAAUAUCUGUUAAGUAGUGUCCGGCUCCCAUAAAUGUUGGACUUCUUGGCUUCUGUGCCCAAUAAGGGCCAUCUUCCACACGUCGAGCGAAUGCGAGGAGCCAGGGCAUUUUUACGUUCGCCCCCUAGCGAGGUAAAUAAAUUGUCUAUUAAAGGGAUGGGGAUUCUUAGAUCCAAUCCACACCAUCCUCCCCCAGCGAGAAUCCAUCGGAGCGCGCUCGGAAAAAAUCCAUUCCAUCAUGGCCGACCACCGCAGCUCCUCCUCCCGCCCCCCGUAGCCCCAGGCCCGGUGAUUGGGAGAGGUGUUCCAUCCCGCACAGCCGUUUAGUAGAGCUGCAGACCCAGGGAUUCCUCCCUCUAGCAUAUAUGGUCCCUGUCCGAGCCGGGCUCGCCACCUAUAAUGGCGGGGAGCAAGCGGAGAGCUUCCCCAGCCCCUCUAAGGGAGAGUGGGUAUGCCUCGUCCCUUACUUACUAAGGGGACUCGAAUUUCCAAUUCAUACAUUCCUCCGCGGGCUCCUGGAGUUCUACGACCUCCAAUUGCAUAAUUUUACCCCUGCUUCCAUACUACACAUCGUCGGUUAUGUUGCCCUUUGUGAGCUGUUCUUGGGCUGCGACGCUCAUUUCGAGCUGUGGAAGAGGUUAUUUUGCCUUCUGCCCCACACACAGAAGGGUUCACUUUAUCAAGUGGGCGGAGCCGAAAUAUGGCGGAUCGCCGAAACCGGAUACCUAUCCGGUACUCCGAAGAAGACGUCCGAAGACUGGCCUUCGGAGUGGUUUUAUAUGGAGGACGUCCCCCUUCCAGACCCUGUUCGGCAGGGUCUUCCUGAGUUCAACAAUGCUCCUUUGAAGAAACACCGAAGCUGGCGCCCACUGAGCCCCCAGGAGGAAGACAACAGAGAAGUCCUCUACCUGAUGAACCGGAUUAAAGCGCUGGCUCAAUCAGGAUUGACAAUUAUCGAGGUUAUGUCAAUAUGCAUAAUGCGGGGAGUGCAACCACUUCAAUAUCGAGGGCACCCCCUGUGGUGUUUUAACGGGGAAGAUGAUGCCACCCGUUGUGGGCGUAAGGGACCGGACUCCGCUGCUGCUUUAGCAAAAUUUUUGUCCAAGUUGUUCAAGGGAGAGGAAGAGGAGUUCAUCUGUAUCAAGCCACAGGAUGGAUUCUCCAUGUACAACCCUCCAAGCUGAGUGAGUUAUACCUGUUUACUCCCAUUCUUCCCGCAUUCUUCGUCAUAGGUACUCACCUUGCCAUUUUACGGCAUGAACUACGAAAAGCUAUAAGGGAGGUCAACAGCCCAUCUCCACAACCAGAGGACCCUGGCCGGGCCCUCGGUCCCGGACUCGAAGAGGAUCUGGACAUAUUCGUGGAGCUGAUAGACAGACAAUUCUAUCAAUUAAGCCGCGAUAACGCCAUGGUGGCCAUAACGGCCGACUAUGCCGGACUGCUCCCUACAUCACACAUAAGAAAAAUCAAAAUCCCAACUCCAAAAAUAGGAUCCCCUUUUAGACACUUCACCUACCAUGCACAUAUGGUGUUUUAUAGGGAAGGAAUUCGGGACGCCAUGCCGAACCCGCAGCAACUCGCCAACAAGAGGCACCGAAACCGGGUAGGCCAAAAAGGAAGGCGGCCAGGACAGAGACGCCGGCGCAGAGGUAUGACACAAAACCUCGCUCCAUGGUUGUCGUCUUUCUCAAAAUGCAAUGCUGUCCAUGCUUCUUUAAUAGAAAAAACGCUCGCCGGACUAUAUCCGGAGAAGCUGCCGAUCACGCCUCCACCAGUCGGACUCCAGGGCUGGACAUAGAGGCGGAAGCCAACAUGGGGCGGACGCCGGAUGCUCCUCCUACAGAGGAUGCGGAUAGACUAUCCGCUACAAAUUCAGAAGUGGAGAGCGCCAUGAAUCAUAGGCGUCGCCGGGCCGUACUCCGUGACGCUUGUUUCUCGCCAGAGGCAUUUGAUGCCUUCAAUUCCGGAGACGCGUACAUCCGUGCUGCUCAAAAUGGUCUAGCCAGAGCCACGGACCAGUAUGUAAGGGAUAUACAGGUAGGCAAAUCUGACGAUUAUAUGUAUCAGUAGCCCCUGAGACUUGAAACAGUUGACACAACUAAUUUAAGGAUCAUUAUUUGUGCAAGUUCUUACGGAGAAGAAUUCCCAAUUGUCUCAAGAGCUGGAUGAGUGCAAGGCCCAGCUGGAAGCCGCUGUUGCCGCAUUGAAGGAGUCCAAAAAGGGUCCCCCUGGUAAAUCUUUUGUCUAUUGCAAAGAAUAUCUGUACCAGGUAGUAUGCGACAUGUAUGCACACCUAACAAUAGAUGUUGCAGGUGGCCCCGGAGUGAAUCCGGAGGCCAUGGAGGCGGAUACGGCACGUGAUGAUCGACAGCGAAAUGCUGGUGAGCGCGUGCUGACGCGAGUCAGGCAGGAGAAAAAUGAUCUCCAAGACGCCAAUAUCCGGCUGGGCGUGGAACUGAAGGAUGUCCGUGCCCAGCUUGCGGACUCCGUGAAAGAGAAUAAACGGCUUCGGCGCGACAUUUUUAGUAAGUGUUUGAACGAAGUUUUUAAAGGAGUUCUGCGAAGAAGCCUGUUAAUAGCGUUAUGUCUGCAGGUAUGCUGACGUGUCGUCCCGCGGAGGAGAUGCUCGGGUCUUCGGGUGAUCUUCUACCAGAGCUCUCACAACUGCACGAACAAGUUCGGCAGGUGAUGCAGAGUAUUGCCCAAGCCUUGUGGCCAUCCAUGUCCCCGCCAGGAGGCAUGGGGGAGCUUAUAGAGAAGCUCAAGGGAGCACGGCGAUGCUUCCGAUUAUGGAAGAUAUCAGCCUGCCGACAAGGUGCAAGGGAAGCCUGGGCUAUGGUGAAGACACGAUAUACCAAGCACUACAAAAAAAGACACAUCCGUGACAUUUUGGGCCGAAUGAAUUUUUUCUCUGUCAUACAUAUGACACUUCUAUGACGAUAAUUGUGAAAAAACCCGGUAUCAUCAUAGAUGUGGUGGGCUCCUACUUCUAUGACAAAAAAUCAUGACAGAAAAUGGGCUUUUCGUCCUGGGCGGGCCGGAGACGCAGCUGCAUGACAUUCUUUGGGCCGUCCAUGACAGAAAAACCAUGGUAGAAGCGAGGGCGAGGAAAAUUUCGAGGAGUUCCCGGUUACGGUGGGAGGUCGGGGGCCGAGCGAUGCACGUUUCUCUUGUUCACGUACGCGCAUGUGUGCGAGGCGUUGGCUCUAAUUGAACCCGAGCGAGGCGUUGGGCUCUAACUGAACCCGAGCGAUUGCACUGCAGGCUACGCGUUACUGAACCCGAGCGAUCGAUCGAUGGCUAUUAACUGAACCCGAUCGAGCGAUUUCUUUGCUACUGCUGCUAACUGAAGCCGAUCGAUNNNNNNNNNNNNNNNNNNNNNNNNNNNNNNNNNNNNNNNNNNNNNNNNNNNNNNNNNNNNNNNNNNNNNNNNNNNNNNNNNNNNNNNNNNNNNNNNNNNNNNNNNNNNNNNNNNNNNNNNNNNNNNNNNNNNNNNNNNNNNNNNNNNNNNNNNNNNNNNNNNNNNNNNNNNNNNNNNNNNNNNNNNNNNNNNNNNNNNNNNNNNNNNNNNNNNNNNNNNNNNNNNNNNNNNNNNNNNNNNNNNNNNNNNNNNNNNNNNNNNNNNNNNNNNNNNNNNNNNNNNNNNNNNNNNNNNNNNNNNNNNNNNNNNNNNNNNNNNNNNNNNNNNNNNNNNNNNNNNNNNNNNNNNNNNNNNNNNNNNNNNNNNNNNNNNNNAGGAGGUCGAUGGUGGAGAUGAACAGUAUCCCGUGGAGUCCCAUUUUGCGGUACGCCACACCCGUCCUGAUGAACAUGACCCCCGUUUCGACCGUAGGAGGUCCGUUUCGUCCAUUUUGCGGUACGCCACACCCCUCCCGAUCAACACGACCCCCGUUUCGACCGUAGGAGGUCCGUUUCCUCCGUUUUGCGGUACGCCACACCCCUCCCGAUCAGCAGGACCCCCGUUUCGACUGUAGGAGGUCCGUUUCCUCCGUUCUACGGUACGCCAGGCCUCGUUUCCAUCGCCUGUUCCAUCCAAGCCCUCCCGAUGAACACGACCACGCAUUCCGUUCCGACCCAGUCGGUUGGCUCCCACGCGUUCCGUUGCCUCCCGAUGAACAUGACGCAUUCGAUUGCCUCCCCAUGAACACGACGCAUUCCGUUGCCUCCCCAUGAACACGACGCAUUCCGUUGCCUCCGCAUGAACACGACGACGACGUUGUUUCUCCGUUCUGACCCAGCCAUGUACACGAGCCCUGGCCGUACGUACGCGCGAGUAGGCGUUCGAGACCCCGCCCGUAUGUACACAUACGUGGCCGUAUUUUCUUUCUUGCACCCUGGCCGCUGUACGUACGUGUACAUGCUACGUGCGCGCCUCUACUAUGACAUGUGCGCGCCUCUACUAUGACACGUGUGCGCAUCUACAUCGACCAGUAUGUACGUACAUGUUUGCGACCAGAAUGACAACGCUACAUACGCUUCGACCAGGUGGGUCCCGACUGUCAGGCACUUCCUUGCAUGCGAAGAUGUAGUUGGUGGGUCCCAGCAGUCAGGGGGGCGAAUCGUUUUUUUGCCCGGACGCACUUCCUUGCGUGUGAAGGUGUAGCUGUUGGGUCCCAGCAGUCAGGGGGCGAAUCGUUUUUUUGCCCGGACGCACUUCCUUGCGUGCGAAGGUGUAGCUGGUGGGUCCCAGCAGUCGGGGGGCGAAUCGCUUUUUUUCGGACGCACUUCCUUCCGUGCGAUGAUGUAGCUCGUGGGUCCCAGCAGUCAGGGGGCGAAUCAUUUUUUCGUGAAAUACGGUGGCUCGUCCGGUGGGUCCCCGCUGUCAGGUGGAGUUAUAAUUAUUUUGCGCGUAAUAAGGAGGCACUUCCUUGCGGCUGCCAUGGACCCAACUGUCAGCCUCUCCACGUACAGUCCACGUCCGAUGGAAGUCGUUCCUUGACCACGUUGACCACACCGCGCCGAGAGCACCAGGGCGGUGGACGACGGCGAGGCCUAGGAAGGGGACGACGCAGAGCCGGGGAAGACGCGGCAGUGGAUGCACACACGGAGAGGAGUACGAGGGUUCAUUGGUUCGGCUGCGCAGCCAUCGCCAUAGAAUAACAGGGGGUGUGGGUGAGUGGAGGGAUGGCCUGGCCAGCGGUGGGAGUAGUAGGGGGCGGUGAGGCCUCCGCGGCAGCACAACCAGCCAUGCGAGGCAGGAGCAGGCGGCACGACCGGCGCUGCUUUGGGUGGCUGGAGCAAAAGAAGACCAGAGGUUGAAGAAGCAUGACGGCCGUUGGAUGGACAUCGUACCGUCACUGCAGCUAGAAUCGUUUAUAUUGACUAAGUUGACAAAGCCCUUGGUACGUUAACUUAGUAGGCCCAUAGGUUAGCUUCUGAAACGGUGCGUCCCGGAUGUCAGGGGGAGGAAUCAUUUUUUGGGCGGGUGAAGCUAGAAUAUCCGAGAUUGAAGAAGAAGCACGGCAUCCGUUGGAUGGACAUCCAACGGUCACUGCUACUAGAACCGUGUGUUGACUAUAAGUGGACAAAGCCUUGCAUAUGUGUCAACUCUGUUUUUUAGGGGACGCGUCAACUUAGUAAGGCCAGAAGUGUGUGGCAGAGAACUUAUAGCCCAUUUGAGAUUUGUAAGAAUGUGUAGCCCAUUUUUGAAUUCUAAUGGAAUUUACUACAUCCCAUUUACAGUUUGUUAAAAGUACAACCCAUUUCAACCAACCGUUCAAAACGGAAUUCAAUAAAAUUUCCCACAUUUUGAUGGGAUCCGAAAUAUUUUUAUCCCGAAAUUUCUAGUUAGAUUAAAUACAAUUUCAAUAUAAAUUUAUAUUACGUAAAAAUCCAACGAAACAUUGCGCUCGCAACAAUUAAUGAAAUUAAAAUUUUCAAUAUCCAAAAAUAAUAUUUUAUAAAGUAAUCACGUGUUUGGUGCAUUUUUAUAGUUACUGCCUAGUUUUUAUAAUUACAUCCCAUUUAUUAUUUUUUAAAGCCCAUUUUCUUGUUAAGCCUAAUGCAUCCCUCCUAGGAAAGAUUUGCAGCCCAGCGGGGCGGAGAAUAACAACUUGACCUUGCCUGGGUAUUCCUAAAAAAAGUAUAGCUGGGCUAGCCAUUUUCAGCUUGAAAUAAAUUAAUAUCUGGGCUGGAUAUCUUGCCUGGGCUAGACGGGCCACAGCUCGCCCAGUUAAUACCUGCAGUGAUGUUUUCGUUGUUGUUCAAAGGAGAAAAAUUAAUAUCUGGGCUAAACAUCGGAAAACUCUGCAGUGCUCACAACUCAAAAACACAAAUACUGCUCGAGCUGCUUGGUCCCAGUUGUCGGCCGCUUCUUGUGCAAUUCUCUCAUUUAUCGACUACUCCCUCCUUUCCGGUUUAUAAGGCUCAAUUCAAAAAUCUCACCAACCAAGGUAGAUGAUGAGUGGUGGAAUAUUUUUUGUAGUUUGCAAAAGCACCCAAUUAAUGUUCUUGUUUUCCUCAAAAAAAUUAUGUUUACGAAUGCAUUAAUUGCAAUGCAUGCAUGCAUAAAGUGCAUGCAUUGGUCAGUUUUCUCUUAAUACUUGCAUGCAAUGAUUUAAUGCACCUUGAAGUCUGAACAUGUGAUGGGGAACAACCAAAUUGAGCCUUAUAAAAUGAAAAAACUAAAAUUUUGAGAUAAGCCCUAUAAACCGGAAAGGAGGGAGUACUACAUAGGUUGACAAUGGUGUGGGACCGUGAUGUCAGGAAACCAGGAGGAAGCAAAAUAAAUUAUAGUUAUAUAUAUAAAAUAAGGAGGCACUUGCGUACGUGAGGCUAUGGACCUGGUGGGUCCCCAUUGUUAUCCUCUCCAAGUAAAGUCAUCUCCUCGCCCGCGUGUGCUUUCCGCCCGAAACAGUCAGCGCCGCCCUCCCCACUUCUCGGUGCAGGCGAUUGCUCCACCUUCAAAUGACACAAGUGUCGUCCGUCCGUCCAUCUGCCGCCCACAUUGAUGAUACGCAAUUGCCAAGGCGGCUACUCCGGCGCCACACGUCCUUCCCUCCGCCCGCCUACAAUGGCUAUAUAAACUGCUGCGCCGGCCAUAGCCGCAGUCAUCCGCAUCCGUUCCCUUUCUCCUGUCCACACCACUACUGCCCACCAUGGCUUCCUCGCGCUCCAGCGCUCUUCGGGACGGGCGGACGACGGACCACAAGGAGAUGGCAGCCAUUGCUGCCGACCGGCUGGCCGCAGGCAGCCGGAGGACGACCACGUCCCAAUGGAUUACAUGGUAGUCGACGAUCCGGCACCAACCCCCUCCUCCGCGCCAUCCUCGCCGGUGCAUUGCACCAUGACCAUCGGCGAGGCCCGUGCCCAAUAUAUGGACAGGAUGAGGCAGAUGCGUGAGGAGCAGUUCCGGGAGGCACAUGCCGACGCCGCCUACAACCACCAUCUCCUCGAGGAGCACCUCCAAGCGGAGGAGCAGAUCGCCGCGAAGCGGGCGGAGCAGGAGGCGCUGCUCGACUCGUACCGCUCCGCCCGCAAGGGCCUCCUCGAGCACUGGCACAUGCAGGUGGCGGAGGCUGCGGCCGCCUACAAAGAGGCUAGCAAAGAGGGCGAUGAAGCGGGCGAGGCGCUGUUUGGCGAGACCGAGGACGAGGCAGAGGACAAUGCCGGCUCCAACGAGUCCCCGCUCCGCUGGCGUCGACGAGGCCCUGCUCCGUGAGGCCCCGUGGCGCCAACAACGAGGCAGAGGACACCGCCGGCUCCGCCGAGGCCCCACCCCGCCAACAACGAGGCAGAGGACACCGCCGGCUCUGCCGAGGCCCCGCCCCGCCAACAACGAGGUAGAGGACAUCGCCGGCUCCACCGAGGCCCCGCCCUGCUGCCAACGAGGCCGCGCCACACAGAAAACGAGGAAGAGUAGAACACGGUAGGUCGCCGCCGCUCGGGUCCAAGUAAGGCCACCGCUGCUACCCUCCGUUUGAAGCCAAGCUAGGCGAGUUGACCAUUGACGGCCGGUUAGCUUCUUGGCGGCAAUGUGGAGUCAGAGAGCUGCGUUGGAGAAGAACACUGCUUCUACUUAACUGCUGGUGUAGUUGGCUGACUGACAGGUGGGCCCAAUAGGCCACAUGUCAGUUACGCAACUGCACCUGCAGUUAAGUCACUGAAGUUUCUGUUCGGCUCAGCGGGACACAGGUGGGUAGCUUCGGUUAAUUAAUUAUACCUCCAGCGCACCCCUUUUUAGUUGAAGAAUGUAUGAAAUGUAAUGAAAUUCGGCAUGUUUAUAUGAAAUCCGAUCGUGUAUGAAUGGAUUUAUUUUGAUUAGUUCGAAUUCCUGUAUCACUGGCAUUGGAUGAACAUGCAAAACAAUACGUACUAGCAUUAUUCCCAGGGUGAUCACCUCGUUUGCAGCAGUUUCACAUGUACUCCCUCCGGUCCUUUCUAGUCUGCAUACAAGUUUUGUCUGCAGUCAAAGUAUCUCUACUUUGACCAAUCUUAUACAAAAAAGUAUGCACUUUGACAAUGUGCAAAGUAAAAAGGAACAGAAGGAGUACAAAGAGUUUGAGCAGCUUUUUAGCGUUUCUGUACAUUGCAAUCAAACACACAGGCCUGGCAAUUCAUAGAGAACAUUCAAAACAAUCGAUGAUUAUGCAUCUCAGCGACUCACAUGUCAGAGGCAAUAUUUACUUCACAACUAAAGAAUAAAGAAAAAAUUGAUUGACGCUGCUGACAGCAAAGGGCGUCCCAUUCGAAAAUAUCAAAUGCAUGUCUUGCUAAAAUCAAUGAGCAAAAUUUGAUAAGGUUGUCCCAUUCCAAAAUAUCAAAUGCCUAUGAUUGUGGAAUGGGCAGGGUUUGCCGUCAGUUUGGACAUUGACAUGGCACCUCGUGCUAAAUAAACCAGCUAUUCUUUUUGUGCAGUUCCACCAAAAUCAACCAAAUUCGCGCGUAGCUUGUAUGAUUUCGCCCUUAUAUGUUGCAACGCCUUGAACUUAUUGGCACCUCCUUUCCUGUGGUGGAAAUGAAUGAUUCGAUGUAUUCAUGAACAUUUUGUGCAGUUCCCAUUGAAAUCAAGCUGAGCACCCCUGUUUGCACAAAUACAAAAAAGUGUUUAGUAUAAAGCAAACUGUACUAUGAAUUGACAGUUUCAACAGGCACAUACAUGGUCCAUGUAGAGCACACUUUUAGAAAAAUGGAACUCACCAGAAAGAAUCCUAGAACAACAUUGCACUCGCGCAUCAUAGCAAAAAGAUGGAGAUUUGUCAGUCCUUCUGAGCUGAAGUUAGUUUGGUCUUGUGGGGAGUAAUGUAACCAUCCUUCAACUGCUCCUUCUGAUGAGAAGAUAGACAGGGCUUCUUCAUCCUGGCAUAAUCGGAACUAGUCACUUCACGUACUCCAUAUUCUUCUUCAGAGGAAGAUGAUCCUGUUGUGCAAAGACAAGAGGACUACUAAAUGCUAGCAUCCCUGUUUGCUCGAAAAAAGGAAAGGAAAUAUUUAAAACAUCACAGAUGAAGCACUUCUCAAGGACAAUACCACUUUUUCAUGACAGUAUCUAAACAGUAGCACAACACCAAUAGAGAUGACAAAGCUCAAUCAUAUGAAUGAAAUCAGUGGGCGAGUACCAACCUUUGUCAGGAGGCUUAUUGUGUAGAGCAUAUAGAUGAAGCACUUCUCCGAAACCAUUUGUUGCUAUCUACGAUGGUGGCCAUGCUUACUAUAUACUCCUCAAUUAGUUUAAUGUUUCCAACAUCUUAUUGUGCAGUUCCACUAAAAUAUAUGGUAUCUUCAAAGAAGAUCCCUGUUUGCACAAGUUGAGAUAAUUACAUAUUACAUUAAGAGUGGCAUCAAAUCAGUGGCAAAACAAUUGCUCGUUCCAGCCAUAGCAAUAAAUUAAGAUGCAAAACUAUAUCAUUACUUGUGUCAUCACAGUUCCAGUGCUUCAUUACAACACCGGGAGUUGAUUUUUGUUUUUCUUCCGCUUGUUCUUCCCCUUCAUCACUUGGUUCAAUAACAGACAAGCUUCGCCUUCAAUGUAAGAUUUGGCAUGUCAAUUAGGGAGCACAAGUAUAGUACUAAACUUAAUUUUCUGAUGGAAGUGGCAAAAUAUAGGCCAACAGUUGUGAAAUAUCCUUAUCUUACCUCAAUGGGAUAUUACGGUGCACAUACAGAUUGGAAGUCUUGUCUCCAUUUGUGCAGUUCACUAAAAUCAAGCAAAAUUAUCGUACAAGUAGCACAACAUAUGAAAGCACACUGCAGAAUCAUGUGAAAGAAGGCUAGUACUGACCUCUCAUGAUGCGGAAUUCAAACAACUCACAAGAAGAAGAUCUGUACCAAAUUCGCCUUAACGGGUAGGAAGUAAGAUCUCCUCUAGUGCAGUUCCACUAAGAUCAAGCAAUCAAGCAACGUUGUCGGUGUGACAUUUUGGUUGAACUGCACAAAACACUCUUAAAACAAAAGUGUUUUGUGUAGUGCAACAAAAGGUCACAAUGGCAACGAGGUGAAGUAGAUAACCCUGUUUACACAGAGGUGCAAAGGAAACAAUUAGUGGUCAAUAAUGGUGGAUGACACAGAAGCCAAGAAAAAGAAGCAUCUACCUUAUCUAAAUGGGAAAGAAAGCAAGACAGUAGCAUUUCUCAAAUGGUGGCAUUGAUUAAUAUUAACAUAGAGAUUAUAUUAACAAUUAAAUUCGUUAAACAUGUAAUUUGCUUUUAACUGUGGCAUUGCAUCAAUUUUCCAGCGGCAUUAUUAGAGGGUGUUUGUUUACAGGGACAUUUUGGUGUAGGGACUAAAAAAACUCCGUGUCAGUCCCAUCUAAACCAAACAGGAGGGACUUUUAGGGACUAAAAGUGGGCAUUUGGGACUAAAGAAAGAAGACCCCGAGGGAGUCUUUUUGGGACUUUUUCCAACAGUUGCCCCUGCCAUGCAUCGCACCUUGUCUCUAUUAGUUCAUUACUAGGGGUAACAUGGUCUUUUAGCAUGUCAUUUAAUAACCUCUAGUCCAUGUUUAGUCCCUAGAACCAAGCAGGUAGGGACUAGGUAGUUUUUAACCAAACAGGGCCUUAGAUUAACAACAGCUAAUGAGUUGCAUGGGACAGUGGACGCACCAGCACCAUGUGCAUCUACCGAUGUACUAUGGUCAUGCACAGUCUGUUGCAACAAAGAACAAACAACCAAAGAGCAUAUUUGUGUUGGUCCCAGUUUUGUUAUCUUUAGACACCUUUCCCUAUGUGAGCUCAGCAAAUCUACUCCUGCUCAAACUCUACAGCCUUGUCCCUUCCUUUCCUUUUUGAACUAGUACUUUUGCUCCUUCCUUUCCUCUUUGAACCACGUCCUAGAUUUAUGCGAUACAACUUUCCCCACUACUUUCCCCCAUUCCUUUCAUCUUUGAACCACGUCCUAGAUUCAUGCUAUACAACUUUCCCCCUUCAUUUCCUCUUUGAACCACGUCCUAGAUUCAUGCUAUAUACAACUUUUCCCACAACUUUCCCCCACUCCUUUCCUCUUUGAACCAUGUCCUAGAUUCAUGGUAUACAUGCAGCUAGAGCAAUGCAUGUGCAGUAAGUAAAUUAUACCUUAAGGUUCUUGGGGCAUGGUUCGGUGGGCGACGGGACGGCGGCAAAGAAGAAGGGGUCGGAGGCCCUCCCGCGCCGCCGCUGGGUGGAAAGUGAACAGCUGCGCCAGUAGUCCCUCGCCGACGGCGACAGCGUUAAGCCUCCUUCCCUUCCCGGCGGACGGAUCUUGUCGGCUCUUUGAGCAGCAGUGAGGGGAGAGAGAGGCCAACGAAGUCUUGUUUAGAUCUGGAGAGGGCGAGAGAGUGUGAAGAGAUCAACUACUCCCUCCGUUCCAAAUUACUCAUCGAAGAAAUGGAUGUAUCUAGAACUAAAAUACAUCUAGAUACAUCCAUACCUGCAACAAGUAAUUCGGAACGGAGGGAGAGAGCGAGAGAGUAUGAAGAGAGCAACUACAAGCGCUGAGGCUCCAGCGUGUAUAUAUAUACUGGAGAGAGAGUGUGAAGCGUGCAAACCCUAGAAAACAUUUUGACCAGUCAAAGAAUCCUCCUGGCACAAAUUAUGCUCAAGUGUAGUUAUCGAACCCGAGACCUCAAGUUAGAAGGUGCAACGGGACCAAGAUGCAUGCGUGUGUGUGUGUGUGUGUGUUUAACAGCAUGUGUGUGUUAGAGAGAGCGACAGAUCGACCUACUCCUACAGAGAGAUGUUGUGUAGUGUACGAUUUUAGUCGCGAGAGUCGGUGCAUCCUCUCGUUUCCGGGCGUGUCUGGUAGGGACAUGCAUACAGCUGCCACGCCUGCUCCUGACCAGCUUGGCCCACCGAAAGCCCCUCCAUCACCCGCGCGCGCUUCCCGCUCGAAACGGUCAGCGCCGCUCCAAAGAAUCGGUGCCGCAUUCAUGCCUGGGCAGAGCGGACGUGACCUCUCACUGGCGCAAGAGUGAUAGUUACUGCUGGGUCUAUGUGAUUUGACGGCUCAUUGGUCUUUAUUACUGAGGUGGUAGGACUGCUGGAUGUCCCACGCUUUCGGCGAAAGGAGGUACUACUACUAGAUUACAAUUUUCUCCAUUCUUACAGCGAAGGCGUGCAAGAGCAGUGAAAGCACGCAGGCUCAAUGAUUACAUGGCCCACCUCACACUAUCACCGUGCGACACCUAACUCUUUACAUAGUACUCCCUCCAUUCCUAAAUAUUACUAGAUGAGUCCCCGCGCGUUGCCGCGAAACAACGGUAUAUCUCUCUGUGCAAAAUUAUCGAUUUCAUAGAACUAAAAAAACUCUAUAACCGCAUGACAAAUGUGGUAGCCAAACUAAAUAAACUCCCAUCAUCAUUUAGAUCAUCCCACGUAAGGAAAAAAGAUCAGCCAACUCCUACUGCAUAAUGGGAUUAUAUUUUUCUUUUUGACAUGUUAAUGGGACUUAAAAGCUCACUUACAUGCACGCUACGGGUGCAUGCUUGCAUGCAGACAUGUCGAUGUGAUUUAAAACCCACUCACAUGCACGUGCCAUGGUAUUUCUGCAUGCUUGCAUGUGGCUUAGUGUGGAGCCUCUCAGCGUCUAGAUCAGACGACUAUUAUGGACUGAUUUACUUCAUCUAACGGCUACAUCAAUUUUGAUGAUGUGGCUCAAGGAGAGGAUAGAGAAUUCGUAGUAGUGGGGGCUAGCUAUUACUAGUAGAUAAGUCUUUGUAGAGAUUCCACUACAUACGGAACAAAAUGAAUGAAUCUACACUUAAAAUGCAUCUAUAUACAUCCGCAUGUGGUUCAUGGUGAAAUCUCUACAAAGACUUAUAUUUAGGAACGGGGGAGACGGCGUACUAAGGAAGCUUCUCCUCAUUCUGCGAGUUGACGGGACACAUCAAAAGUACUCCAGUGUAUAGAGCCUUGCCUCUAAGGUAGGCCCCACAUGGUUUGCCCCUUUUUUUAACAUAACACAUCAAGUCGCAAUUUGUUUGUUCACUCGUGGUAGACGAUCCUCCCUCCACCAAGUGGACAACCAGUACAUGUGCCAAAUUACCACGUGGGAUGCCUUUUUCGUACAGAAAUGAGCUCCACAGUGUACCCGCAUGGGUGUGGUUGGGAAAGAGACGAGAGUACGUGCGCCGUGCAUGCACUCUUCUCUUCGUGCAUGUCCCCCACCUACGUGGGUGUGUGUGAGAGAUACAAACCGCGUUCAUGAGUGUUUUUUGUUUUGGGGUGGGGGUGGGUGGGGGGUUGAUUUUGUGAAUUAUUUGUGGGAAUAUGUGUCGAUGACAUCUCAAACAAAAUUUUGCAUGCAAUGUGUGUGAAAUGGAGGCCUAUCCAUAUCAUACAUAGAGGGUCGGGCAAUCCACGAGAAGAGAGGGAGGGGUCAUAGCUAUCAAUAGUGUCGAAGAGAGGAUCAAGUGGGUGGGUGCGAGAUCGAUGAAGAGAGCCAUCGAAAUUGUGUGUGUGUGUGUGUGCAAGUCAAAGAUAUAGGGCAACUGGCCUAACGAAAUGUUAGAGGGCACAUGUCAAGUUUGUGUGUGGCAGGGAGACAUGACUAGAGCGCUUGAUGUAUCGGUGUGUGUGGAGGGAGGGGUAGGCAGAGGCCUAACUAUAGAGGUAGAACGACUCGUAUAUGUGUUGAGAAGGAGAGACCCAGCUAUGUCUUGAGGGAGAUCGGUCGACAUCCAUACAUAACUGAAGGACGGGAAAUAUGAUGGGACAGAGAGAGAGAGAGAGAGGAGAGAGAGGGGGAGGGAGAGGGGUAGAGUGCUGGAUGGGUGAUGGAGUUGCUUCUCGAAGAUGGUGGGAGAGGCCUACUAGACAAACUGAGGGUGGAACUGCAAUGUUAUCAAUAAGAGUGUGGAUGUGUUUCUGUGUGUGCCUGUGCGUGAUAGAUCUGUGGGGACGCAUCCAUGGAUGAUGAAGGGGAACCAUGUGUUUGGUAAGCAAACCUAACUAGAUCGGUAGAUCAAUUGUUGUUUGUCGGAGGAAGGGAGAGACACAACUAAUGAGGUAGAUCGAUUGACGUGUGGGUAAAAAUGAGUUAUAAGGACCUAGCUAGCUAUAUGUAUAGCGAGAGAUCGAUCGGUGUACGCCCAUUUGUUAGAGGCAAAUAAGGCCCAGCGAGAUGGAUAGACAGAGAGAAUGGAGCUAGGAGGUGGUGCGAGAGGCCCAACUACUAGCUAGAUACGGGGAGGAGUGUGCGGUUGUGAGAUCGAUGAAAAGAGGGGCGAGAGUUUACACGUGUGUCUGACCGUAUGAGAGACACGAGGCAAGGACACAUAAACAAGGAGAUUGAAGGUGUGUGUGUGUAUGUUGUAGGCAGGCAUCGCUAGAGAGGUUUAUCGAUCGGUGUGUGUCGGAAAGGAGUUGUGGAGACUCUGGGAGAAUGACCUAAAGAAAAAAAAUGAAUGUGCCCGGUGUAUAGAAUGCCGAGGGAGGGGGAGGGCGAGGAGGGCGUGUGCAUGCAUGAGAGAAAGUUAGUGGUAGCUACAAAGGUUAGAGGAUUGUGUGGGUGUAAGAGACUAACAAAGAUCAUAAUUUGAUAUGAAAGCGGAUUCAUAUAUUUGAAUAGGAGAUCAUAGUGUUUUAAACAUUGCAUGCAUGAAUAUAGCGGUGAUACACGUGUUGUGCACAUGUUAUACCAUAAUGUGAUAAUGCAUGGCGUUUGCAACUCAUAGCUAAAUGCCGAACAAUCUAAACCAUACUAUACAUCAAACAAUCUCACAUUUUAUUUGAAUUUGUGAUAAUGUGUGGCGUUUGCAGCUUACAGCUAAAUAUAGAACAAUCUAAACAAUAUUGUAUAUCGAACAUUCUCAGAUUUUAUUUGAAUUUGUGGUAAUGUGUGGUGUUUGCAACUCACAUCUAAAUACUUGUAGGCGUAGGGGGCGGGGCACCAUACAUAAUGUGAUAAACACAUUAUACAUAUGAGACAUGGUUUAGAUUAUGAAGAUCUAGCUAGAGCUAGAAAUGUAAUGUGACUUGAAAUCAAAAUAAAGUGGAUUCAAAAAAUCUAGUUUGAGUUCAUAUAGUACACAUAGUUCAUAUGUAACUCGAGACUAAUCAUGUGGUGUCUGUGAAGAUAAUACACAAACGAUGGUUUAACUUGACAAUAAUGAUGAUUGUAGAUCUUAUUAAAACAAAGAAACAAAUUCAAAUGCUUUGACUUCACAACAAUCAUUACUGUAGAUCUUAUUCAAAUAGAGAAACGAAUUCAAAUUUAGUUCAUAUUGAAGCGGUAGUAUAUACAUUUGGAAUGCACUAAAACGUUCAUUUGAGUAGUAGGUUGCAUGCAUUAUACACGUAGUGAAAUAGUUUAAUUGAACAUAACAUGAAUUCAAAAUUUUGGAUGACAUUUGUAGUGUGCAUUGAUUUGGUACAGUACACGUUAGGCUUGUCCAGAAAUUUCAACCCGUGCCUUGUUAGCCCGAAAUAUUUAAGAUAUAUCUUUGUCUUGUUGUGCUCCGACAACUCCCUCCAUCUCAACCUGCGCCUUGCUAUUCCGAAAUUACAACGCGCGCGAAAACUCCCACCUCCUGUGAAAUGCCGACACGCGAAAUCCCCGUGGUACCCCCGAACCAAAAGAACCGCCUCAAAUCGGUGGGGGUACUUUCGUAACUUACCCCACAUUUUGGACAAGCGCGUCUCUAAGCCAUGGUUCCCCACUGCCAUCCCAUCCGCCCACCCAUUUGUAUACUGAGGCUGCGAAAACCCACGACGAAACCCCACACCCUGCUCCGUCCUCCACCCAGCCGGAGCCUCUUCCCCGGCGACAUCGUCCACAGCAACACCUCGACGUCCCUCAUCCACCAUACCAGAUGAGGAUCCAUCAUCGAUCUCAUCGUCCCGCCGGUUCAGCCACCCCGUCCUCCACCUCCAAGGAGCUGCCCCGACGUUCCCCUUGUCUUUCGCGCCACCUCCAUUCCCAUGCCGCCGUCUUCACCUGCACCACCGGAAGAGCAUCAUCAUCACCGUUUCCUCGGAUGAAGCUGCAGCCUAAUCGGCGCCACCAAAGAGGUUGUACACUAAUCGCCGCAUUUUCUUCUUGAUUCGAUCUCACGGUGCUACCGGCGCUCGGUCCCGAGCUGACACGGCGCGACUCCAUCCACGGCGGCGUAGCCGACCACUUCCUCCACGGUGUCGCUCCCUCGUUGGCGACGUCCACAUCAGUAGGAGCUGCUUUUGCUUUAGCUCUCGCUCGCGCUGCUGCUCUGCUCUUGCUCUCGGUCCCCUGCCUGGUCUGCUCUUGCUAUUGCUCUUGCUCGCGCUGCUGCUCUCGCUCUUGCUCUUGCUUGCGAUGCUGCUCCAAUUUAGCUACACUUCAGUCGACUAAAUCGACUUUUGGGUCAGNNNNNNNNNNNNNNNNNNNNNNNNNNNNNNNNNNNNNNNNNNNNNNNNNNNNNNNNNNNNNNNNNNNNNNNNNNNNNNNNNNNNNNNNNNNNNNNNNNNNNNNNNNNNNNNNNNNNNNNNNNNNNNNNNNNNNNNNNNNNNNNNNNNNNNNNNNNNNNNNNNNNNNNNNNNNNNNNNNNNNNNNNNNNNNNNNNNNNNNNNNNNNNNNNNNNNNNNNNNNNNNNNNNNNNNNNNNNNNNNNNNNNNNNNNNNNNNNNNNNNNNNNNNNNNNNNNNNNNNNNNNNNNNNNNNNNNNNNNNNNNNNNNNNNNNNNNNNNNNNNNNNNNNNNNNNNNNNNNNNNNNNNNNNNNNNNNNNNNNNNNNNNNNNNNNNNNNNNNNNNNNNNNNNNNNNNNNNNNNNNNNNNNNNNNNNNNNNNNNNNNNNNNNNNNNNNNNNNNNNNNNNNNNNNNNNNNNNNNNNNNNNNNNNNNNNNNNNNNNNNNNNNNNNNNNNNNNNNNNNNNNNNNNNNNNNNNNNNNNNNNNNNNNNNNNNNNNNNNNNNNNNNNNAGGAUGGGGGCGAUGGUCGCCGGCGGUGGUGGGGCGUUGGCGGGGCGGUGGCGUGGAGAUCACCCGAGAAAAAGCUCGGCACGGGGGCCUAGAGGGAUGGCCGGGGCGGCGGCGGACCGGCGGCGGACCGGCGGUGGGGAGUGUUUUCGGGGCGGGCGGGGCAGCGCACCGCCGGCCGCGGGCGACGGGGGGCUGCUGUUUGGCCGGUGGUGGCUGGCGGCUCAGGGGGGUGGAGGUUGAAGAUGAACCGCAGGCCAUUGAUUUCGUAUCCAAUGGCUGCAAAAUCAACUGACCAGAGAUGAAAAAGUCAGUCGACCGACGUGUAGCCUCACCUUGCUAGUGUGUUCAGUUUCGAUAGCAAAAUUCAGUUUCGACGGCAAAAUUCAGUUUCGAUAGUUAAGUUCAGUUUCGAUAGUUAAGUUCAGUUUCGACAGUUAAGUUCAGAGAUGAGCGGCUGAUGUAUUUUACAUCUAGCACUUUGUGGUUAUGUAUUUUACGUCAUGUAUUAGAGAUGCUAUUAGAAUUCCACUCAGGUUAACGUUGUUCGUUGUCUCUCUUGUCCUGCUUCAGCCUCGGCGUCGUACAACUCACCGGAGUUGCUCCAACGACGAAACCCUCCAUCAUAGCGGAGCAGUACCUCAGGCUCCAUCUCCAGACGCCUAAGAUCUUCUUCCCCUCCUCCGAUAGCAAACUCAGCCGGAGCAUCCUCACCGGCCAACCCAAUCACGCUGAGAUCGACAUGGCUUCGCCAAAGAGGUUGUACACUUGUUGCAUCUCUUUUUUACUCUACAUGUUAUAUAUAUUGUCCACUGAGCACGCGGAUUUGUUCCUUUAGUGUCUCCUUGAAAGAAAAAACGUAGGAAUUUUAAUUUUCACUUGUCCUCCUUUUCAAAUUCCUAUUCAUGAAGCACAAGACUAAGAGAUAGUAGCAUAAUAUCAUUAUAACCGUACAUUUUCUUGUGGUUUGACUUAAUCUCACCAUGCUUCUUUGCAUCUUGUGAUCUUCCAAUUGUUGUGAAUAAAACACCCAGAUUGGCAGAAAUCCUAUGUUUUUAAAUUCUCUGUUUUGCACGUGCAUUCCUAUCCUAUUCCUGUCUAUUUCCUAUCCAUGCAUUGUUGGAAUCCUCCAAUUCAAACGAGCCCUUACAGAAUUACUUCUCUUACAGAUAGUUGUCAAAGAAAACCUUGCGUGGUUUAUCCCGCUCCUGCUGCGCCGUCGUCCACCCCAGCUCAGCUGCUCCAACGAUAGAAGGGUCCAGCACAGCAGGGAUCCGGCCUCCAAAUUGUCUUUCGCCGCCUCAGAUCUUCUUCCCCGCCGCUGGCAGCCAUGAAAACUGCAUUACCAUCAGAUGACCUCGAGGACUACACGGGUCUGCAAGAGAGGUCGCACUCUUUCGUGUCUGCUUACGUUAUGCAUCGCUUAAUAUUACAUGCUACUUUAUCAUCCUGUUCAUCGAUUAGACUCUGAGUCAGCUCCAAACUAAUGGUCAAACUUGGGUUUUUAAAUGGUUGUGGGGUACAUAUCGGGGCCGCUAUUAAUAGUAUUUAUCUACUAUCUGAUUAAUCUCCGGUGUCUACUAUGAGUUUCAUGUUGGGUGGGAAACAAACAGUAAAGAAGCCAUUAUCUGUAUUUUUUAACUGAAGCCAUUAUCUGCCUGCUAUUAUUGGUUUUGGGUCUAUCCAUAGGUUGCUACCAUCACUCUGUAUUUCUGCAUGCACUCCUUACAUAAUCUCACUAUGUUUUAUUCCUAUGCAUGAAAGUUAUUGUAAACAAUGGAACUGAACAUGUAGAGCAAAAGAGACGAGCCUUGCGUGUCAAUAAAAUUUCAUGCAGACGUCGCUCCAUGGUAGGCGCAAAGGCAGCCCCCCUCCACGCAUUUCGGAUUGUAAUCAAGAGGAAGAUAUCUGUUCUGAGGGGGAUUCAGAAGGAGAAGACAACUCCUAUUUACCCCCUGAGGUCUUCGCUCUAACUUGGCAUGUUGAUGUUGGUUAUAUCAUGCAUACGGUGUCUUGCAUUGCUUACUUUAUACAUCAAAUAUGUCAUAUGCUUAGUUUAGACAUCCUUUGUGCGAAUGCCAUCUGUUUAGUUUAUUCAUCAUUUAUGUGAAUUAUGCAAUGCCAUCUUGUUUAGCCAGGCAUCAUAUAUGUGAAUUUUGCAAUGCCAUCCUGCUUAGCCAGUCAUCUUAUAUGUAAAUUAUAUCAGGCCAUCCUUUUUUUGUUACAUAUUACAUUUGUCAACAAUGUUAGUACAUUCAAUUAAUCUUUGUGUGCAUCCGCCAUUUGACACGGUGAUGGCAAAUUCUAGAGUGAAAACAAGGUCUUCAGAGCAGACUAUGCUAUCUGACGAAGCGCAUAUCUCGCUGGUUACGGAUAGCUCCUCGGAGGAGGAUUCAGAGAUAGAUGACCAGUCCUAUCCCCUCCCCCAAGGUGCAUGCUCUAACUUGGUAGGGUUAUGUUUCUCAUAUCAUGUGUAUGGUGUCUCGCAUUGCUAUGUCAUUUGAUUAGUUUAGACAAGCUUUGUGUGAAUGCCACAUGUUUAGUGUCUAAUUACCAUAUAUGUGAAUUAUGCAUUGCCAUCUUGUUGCAAGACAUUAUAUAUGUGAAUUAUACAAUGCUAUCUUGUUGCAAAGGCAUUAUAUAUGUGAAUUAUGCAAUGCCAUGUUGUUUAGCCAAUCAUCAUGUAUGUGAAUUAUAUCAUGCUAUCAUUUUUUUGUAUUACGUGUUCCAUUUGUUGACAAUGUUUGUAUAUUCAACUACUCUUCCUGUGCAUCAGCCAUUUGAAGUGGUGAUGGAAGUAUCUGGAGUGAAAACAAGGUAUUCAGAGCAGACAAUGCUACCUGCUGAAGCAGACAUCUCGCUGGUUAUAGAGAGCUCCUCAGAGGAGGAUUCAGAGACUGAUGACCAAUCCUAUUUCCCCCCUGAGGUCUAUGCUCAAACUUGGCAGGGUUAUAUUACCCAUGUCAUGCAUGUUGUCUUGCAUUGCUUAGUUUUUACAUCAUACAUGGAUUGCCAUAUGCUUACUUGCUUACUAUAUAAAUCAUAUAUUUGAAUUAUAUCAUGCCAUCAUGUUUACAUAGUACAUACACAUCAUCUAUCUGAAUUAUGGCAUGGCAACCCAUUUAAUAAAGACAUCAUAUAGUUAUAUCAUCUCAUCCUUUUUAGUGUUUACAGUCAUCAUAUUUUGAAUUAUGGCAUUCUAUCCGUGAAUGUAUGUGAAUUAUGUCAUGCCAACCUAUUUAAUAAACACAUUAUAUAGUUAUGUCAUGUCAUCCUGUUUACAUAGUCUCAUAUUUUGAACUAUGUCUUUCCAUCUUUUUUAGUUAGCCAUCAUAAUGUGAAAUUGUGUCAUGCUAUCCUGUUUAGUUAGCCAUCAUAUAUGUGAAAUUGUGUCAUGCUAUCCUAUUUGGUUAGACAACAUAAAUAUGAAUUAUUUCAUGCCCUCUUUUAUUCCCCACUAUCCAUUGCACCUGUCUAUCAUACAAUGUCUAUACUUUCAAUUACUUUUCUUGUUUAUCAGCCAUUUGAAUUGGAGAGUGUGAUGGCAGUAUCUAAGGGAGUAACAACAUGGUCUUCAGAAAAGACAGUGCUACCAGUUGAUGCAGAUAGAACCACGGUUGUACUUGCCCAAGGACCAGAUCCACCACACAUAACCCAGACUCUUGCAGAUUGUACCCUACCCAGUUGGACAGAGAACCAGCUACACCCCCUUCUAACACCAACCCCAGCAAAUAGUAACCCAGUUCCAGUUGACACAACACCGUCUCCACCAUAGAGCACCCAAACACGAGCAGUUAGUAAGGGAACUGCAGUGCCCAAAGCACGAGGACCACCACUCCGAAUCCCAACUCAACGCUUAAAGGAGAAGAAGAUUUGUUCUCAGGUCAGGUUCUGUAGCUAUGGUUCAUACUCCUUUGCUCUUGCAUUACUGUAUUUACUCAUACCAACUAUUUUCAAAUUUGAAGGAUGGAAUUGAAACUCCAAUGGCGCAACAGGUAUGUUUUAAACCUGUUUCUUUAACUGGUUUGCUAUUGUAACCUGCUCUAUGUUGAUUUCAGUUUCAAUUAAUAAACAAUUAUGUUCUCAUGUCAUGCACAUUACAAGUGUUGUUAUUGCUCUAUAGUUACCCAUACUUAUAUUCUGUCUAUUCUGCUUUGUCUUGAACAAAUAUUAUUUGAACUGUGUCUCUAUCUUGAUUUGGCAACAAAAACUAGAAUGAUAUAGACCAUAAAGUGACCAUGGUACAUAGAUAUAUGUUUGUUUCAUGCUGUUAUCCUAUCCACUUUACUACUGAACUCAUUUACCAAAAUGAGUUUCAUAUACAACAUGGUAAACAUUUGAUGUGUCUGCUUGUUUCUCUUUUAGAAUGCGGACAAAAUAUUGGAGAACAGUACCGCGUUAUCCAAUGGUAAAGGAAGUAAUGCAGAUAAGGUUCAAGAUAGUGAGACAUCCCUGUUGGUCUCCAAGAAAGCUGAUAAAAACUAUCUUGAUGACAGUGAGGGAACCCAAAAGUCAUGUCUUGAUGUAGUGUUCGAGUUACUGGCCACUAUUGCUGGCACAAGCUCUUCGAACUCGCUGCCUGAAUCAGUUCGUCUUCUUGAGUCUCAACUUCAAGUUGAAAGACAUCGAUCAUAUGUGCUGCGACAGGAAGCUGAAGGACUGAGGAAGUCCUUGUAGAAUUCAGAUGCAUAUUUUCUGGUGCAAUAGCAAGCACUAGAGGAUUUAAGCACCAAACAAGAGAAAGUUAAUAUGCUUGCUAAGCAUCUUGCCAGCAUUAUGGGUAUCCAGGAUAUUGUUUCUUGAGAUCUUCUAAAGUGGUUUCAGUUCUGGAUUUGUUUUGCUGCGGUGUUUAUUUGCACUGGUCGCUAACUUUGACAACCAGUGUAUAUGAUAUGCUGCUAUGUUCCCUAUAUUUGCACUGGUGGCGAACUUUGAUGCCUAGUGGAUGUAAUAUGUGUAAUAGCCGUGAUAGCCUAGCGUUAGUUGCUUUCUUAUUUAUUUCCUUGUUGUCUUGUUUAUUUGUUUGCUUGUAGUCAUUGCAGUUCUUUUUCCGCGGUUAGCUAGUGGCUGCAAUAACCUAUUUUUUAAAACUAGGCCACAAUAACCAUGGGCUAAUAUUUACUGUAGUGACACUGGGCCUCCUACUGGCCAUAGAAACAGUGGGCCUUCUACAGGCCGUAGAAACAAUGGGCCUUUUACGGGCCAUAGAAACAAUGGGCCUUCUGCGGGCCGUAUCAUUAAUGGGCCUUAUACGGGCCGUAUGAUCGAUUGGCCAAACAUGGGCCAAACAGACCGCAUUAUGGCCGUAAACGGGCUAGAGUUGGAAUUGUCCGUUCAUGGGCCGACCAUAACGGGCCAUCGUUAAUAGGCCGUAUUUGAUGACGCUAUGAAAACGGCCCAACGUAUUAACGAACCACAAACGGGCCGACUGUAACCACGGGCUGAAUUUGGCCCACAAGCAGAAAAUGACAGUAACGGGUCGUAAGUAAACGAACGCUGGAAAUGAGCCCAAGAAUAAAUGGGCUCUGAGAAGGCCAAAAGAUAACAUGGGCUGGAAACGGCCCAACGGAAUAACGGGCCGUUAAUGGGUAUAAAGUGAUACACUAUUCAUUACGGGCCAGUUUCACCACGGGCCGUUAAUGGGUGUAAAGUGAUACACUGUUCAUUACGGGCCAGUUUCACCACGGGUCGUUAAUAGGCCAAGAGUUACAUAUGGCCUCAUAUGGACCGAAAGACGUCAUGGGCCAUACAUGGGCCAGAAGUGAAAACGGGCUGGAAUCGUAUUGGGUGGCCCAGAUGACGCUACUGGGCCUAAUUCGGAUAGGGUGUAACGGGCCUUAGGUUAGCGGGCUGUAAAUGGGCUAUAUGCGAACAGACCAUUAACAGGCUUUACAUGGGCCGGCCCGGCACCUUUUGACCAAGUCAAACGGGCCAGCCUUUUCACAGGAAUGGGCCUCUGUUGGGCCGUGCCACAUGUCGACGUAUCAUAGGCGCCUUCUGUCCAAUGAGUGGAUGACAUCUGUCCCAACGAUGAGCCGACACGUGUUUCCUCCAGCCAAUGAUGAUUUUACACGUGGAAAAUCCCCAUUGGUUAGGGUUGUUAAUGGGUUAUCGGAUCCAAAACCUGACCCAAUAGCUUAACGGCGUUCCUUUACGGUGGAUGCCACGUGUCGGUCACCCUUGACGAAAGCACUUCUAUGACGCGGGAUUUAUCGUCAUGGAAGUGGACACUUCCAUGAUGAUAAUUUUGGUAAUGUCAUGGAACACUUCUACGACAGCACAGGUAUGACUAUCUUGAUUCUGUCAUAAAAUCAUCAUGGAUGUACAUGCAUGACAGAAAAUGCUACCUACUGUGACAAACACGUAUCAUCACGGAAGUGUAUUUUUUUGUAGUGAAGGCUAACCCAAACCACAUGGACGAGGUCGGACCUGUGGGGCCCGAUGGGAAAGAGAUCCCCGUCAGUUUAGUGUAUGAUCAAGUAGAAUUAGCCACAAAGUAUUCCCAACAGGAUUGUAGGCUAGACAGCCUAUUGGAUGGUAUAGAAGAAGAAUUUAAUCAGUCUUAGUGAUUGUGUACUUCAAGUGACAUAUGUAAUGUCCCUAGCCGGAUUGUAAAUCAUUUGUCAUGGUGGACCUUUUUGCUUCGACCCCUGGACCCGAUAGUCUGGAGUGUAUCCGAAUACCCACUCGAUUACAUAAAAACUGGGGUAUGCAUGGAAACCAGGCGUAGGGGUCAUAAGUGCUUGAACAGACAAGUACCUUACAUGGAUAGUAAGAAACAUCUUCCAGGGAGAAUAGUUCCGUUAAGGGUUCCUUUCCCUGGGUACGCAAGCCCUAAUGUGCAUGUCUGAACUACGAGAUGCAGGCUAAAAACAUCUGGGGGCAUGUAGUAAUUUAAAUGAAAGUCAUCUUUUAUUCAUCGGCCGAAUAUUCCCUUAAGAGCGCUAGCUUUCGGCUUCACCCAGUCUGAGGUACACAUCCGGCUGACCCGACAGUAACAAUCGCAGAGGUGCUCCCCUUAUGCCCUAGCCAAAUUAACGGUAACAUAGGGCAUAAAUACAAGAGCCAGGCAACCCAGCUUGGCCAAAACUUAAGUCAUAUCGAUGCAUAUAAUGGCAAAAAAAGGUACAUGCGGAAGAAUAACACAUGUGCGGGGCAUAAAGCCCGGAAAGAUAAUUGGAUUAAGCUUCUGUAUAAGAAGCCCCCAGGUAUAUUAAGCGCGGUUAGCGCGUCAAGAUUGUGUAACCAAGACACAAGUGUAGCCCUUUGGGGCCUUGAAGGGAAAAGAGAGAAAGAAAGAGAGAAAAAACUGAUGUGCAAAAAAUUGAUGGAGGUAAGGAGACGAACAUAGAGUUUGGUGCUAGGCGUAGAAUCUUCGGAGUUUGGCUGCAUCCCAUGGGUUUGGCUCGAGUCGAUUAUCCGAUGCAUCCCGUAGGUGGUACACUCCACCGAUCAGAACCUGGUCGAUAAUGAAGGGACCUUCCCAUUUGGGCUUGAGCUUGUUCUUUUUCUUCUUCGGCAGGCGUAGAACUAGUUCGCCAACAUUAUAGGUUUUGGCCCGCACUUCUUUGCUUUGAUACCUUCGAGCCUGUUCCAAAUAGAAUGCGGAAUGAGCUUUUGCCACGUUGCGCUCCUCCUCCAGGGCAUCCAAACUGUCUUGCCGAUCGAGCUCGGCCUCUCUUUCUUCGUACAUGCUCACUCGAGGUGAGUCAUGAAUUAUGUCGCAAGGCAGCACCGCCUCAGCGCCGUACACCAUAAAAAUAGUGUGUAUCCGGUAGUGCGAUUCGGCGUGGUCCGCAGCCCCCAUAGUAUGGAGUCGAGCUCCUCUACCCAAUGAGUGUCUGAUUCCUUUAAAGUUCGGACAAAUCUGGGUUUAAUGCCGCUCAUGAUAACACCAUUCGCUCGUUCGACUUGACCGUUAGUUUGCGGAUGAUAGACAGAAGCAUAAUCGAGCUUGAUGCCCAUGUUGCUGCACCAAAGUUUCACCUAAUCGGCUGUAAAGUUCGUGCCGUUGUCAGUGAUGAUGCUGUGGGGGACGCCAUAACGGUGUACAACCCCGGAUAUGAAGUCUAGCACCGGUCCGGAUUCAGCCGUUUUGACAGGUUUGGCUUCUAUUCAUUUGGUGAAUUUAUCCACCAUGACCAGUAAGUAUUUUUUCUUAUGGGUUCCCCCUUUGAGGGGUCCGACCAUAUCGAGCCCACAGACCGCAAAGGGCCAAGUAAUGGGGAUUGUUUGGAGGGCGGUAGGUGGCAUGUGGCUUUGGUUUGCAAAAAGCUGGCAACCGACACAAUGUUGUACUAGAUGCUGUGCAUCUGCCCGGGCCAUCGGCCAAUAAAAACCUGUACGGAAGGCCUUGCUUACAAGGGCCCGGGCGGCGGCGUGGUGGCCACCGAGUCCGGCAUGGAUUUCUGCCAAAAGCUUCCGCCCUUCCUCUUUGUAGACGCACCUUUGAAGGACUCCAGUUGUGCUUUUCUUAUGAAGCUCUCCCUCAUGGACCUUGUAGGCUUUAGAUCGCCGCACUAUGCAGUGGGCCUCAUUUUGGUCCUCGGGUCCUGUCUAGUUAGGUAGGCCAGGAAUGGUUCUGUCUACGGGGCGAUGACGACCAUUAUCACGUGGGCUGAAGGUGUUAUUUCGCUGGCAGAGCCUCCGAUUGUGUCAGAGUGUUCGGUGUCUGGGGUUGUGGCCGGGUCCGGACUAUUUUUGCCGGUGUCCCCUUCCCAUACCACAGAUGGUUUAAACAGUCUUUCUAGGAAGAUGUUCGGUGGGAGAGGGCCGCGUUUAGCGCCGAGACGGGCUAGGAUGUCCGUCGCCUGGUUGUUUUCCCGGGCCACAUGGUGGAAUUCAAGCCCCUCGAACCGAGCUGACAUUUUGAGGACGGUGUUGCGAUAUGCCGCCAUUUUCGGAUCCUUGGCAUCGAAGUCUCCAUUUAUUUAGGAUAUUGCGAGGUUUGAGUCCCCACGCACCUCUAGGCAUUGGAUGCCAUGGAGACUGCCAUCCGGAGGCCGUGUAAUAGGGUCUCCUAUUCGGCUGCGUUAUCGGAGUCUGUAUAUAGUAUUUGGAGCACGUAUUGCACCAUAUCUCCGGUGGGGGACGUCAGGACGACGCCAGCCCCCAGACCAGCCGGCAUUUUAGAGCCGUCGAAGUGCAUGAUCCAAUUGGAGUAUGCGCCGUACUCUUUAGGGUGUUCGGCUUCUGUCCAUUCGGCUACGAAAUCGGCUAGUACUUGCGACUUAAUGGCUCGUCGUGGCUUAUAUGUUAUGUCAAACGGGACGAGCUCGAUGGCCCAUCUGGCAAUCCGGCCCAUGGCAUCGCGGUUGUUUAUUAUGUCAUUGAGUGGUACUUCGGAAGCCACCGUAAUCGAACACUCUUGAAAGUAGUGCCGUAAUUUCUGGGAUGCCAUAAAUACUGCGUAUGCUAUCUUUUGGUAAUGUGGGUACCGUGAUUUGCAUGGAGUGAGGACGGUGGAUACAUAAUAUACUGGCUUUUGAAGUGGGAAUUUAUGUCCGUCCAUCUCUCAUUCGACGACGAGCACUGCGCUUACAACUUGGUGAGUUGCCGCUAUAUAUAAUAGCAUUGGUUCGCCAAUAGUGGCGCGGCCAAGAUUGGGUUGGUGUCCAGGAUGGCUUUUAUUUCUUCCAAUCCGGCCGUGGCUGCGUCUGUCCACUCGAAGUGUUCGGUGCAUCGAAGAAGGCGAUAAAGGGGAAGUGCCUUUUCUCCUAAUUGGGAGAUAAAGCGGCUUAAAGCUGCCACACAUCCAGUUAAUUUCUGGAUUUGCUUGACGUCAGUUGGGAUAGCCAACUGUGAUAGAGCUCGGAUUUUAGCCAUAUUUGCUUCAAUUCCUCUACUGGAGACGAUGAAGCCCAGGAGCUUUCCGGCGGGAACGCCGAAAACGCAUUUUUCCGGGUUCAGCUUAAUGUCGUAUGUUCAAAGAUUGGUGAACGUGAGCCUCAAGUCAUCUAUUAAAGAGUCGACGUGUCUGGUUUUAAUGACCACAUCGUCUACAUAUGCCUCCAUAGUCUUACCGAUCUACUUUUCCAGACAUGUUUGGAUCAUACGCUGAUAUGUUGCGCCGGCAUUUUUGAGCCCGAAGGGCAUUGUGUUAAAACAAAAGGGGCCGUAUGGCGUGAUAAAUGCCGUUGUGGCUUGAUCAGACUCCGCCAUCUUAAUCUGGUGGUAACCGGAGUAUGCAUCGAGGAAGCACAAUGAUUUGUGUCCUGCGGUAGCGUCGAUGAUUUGAUCAAUGCGAGGGAGUGGGAAGGGAUCCUUUGGGCAAGCCUUAUUAAGGUCUUUGAAGUCGACACAUAGGCGCCAGGAUUUGUCCUUCUUUGGUACCAUCACCAGGUUUGCUAGCCAGUCCGGAUGUUUUAUUUCUUUAAUAAAUCCGGCCUCCAGUAGCUUGGCUAGCUCCUCUCCCAUGGCUUGUCGCUUAGGUUUAGAGAAACGCCGAAGAGUCUGCUUGACCAGCUUGAAUCCUUUUAAAAUAUUAAGGCUAUGCUCGGCCAAUCUGCAUGGGAUUCCUGGCAUGUUUGAAGGAUGUCAGGCGAAUAUGUCCCAAUUCUCGCGUAGAAACUCCCGUAGUGCGGCGUCUACAGCGGGGUCUAACUACGCCCCGAUGGAUGCUGUUUUUGUGGUGUCCAUUGGAUGGACUUGGAAUUUUACUAUUUUGUCCGUUGGUUUAAAGGAGGUGGACUUGGAUCUUUUGUAUAGUAUCAUGUCGUCCCUGUCCACCGUGGAGCGCAGCGCGGUUAACUCCUCCGCCACAAGGGCUUCGGAUAAUGCCUCGAGGGCUAGUGCGACUGUUUUGUCUUCGCGCGGAGUGCUAUGUCCGGAUCACUAACUAGAGUGAUGAUUCCAUUGGGUCUGGGCAUUUUGAGCUUCAUGUACCCGUAAUGGGGUAUGGCUUGAAAAAUCGUGAAUGCCUCCCGCCCUAGAAGGGCGUGGUAUCUGCUACUGAACGGGGCCACUUGGAAUGUAAUUUCUUUGGACCUAUAAUUCUCUGGAGUGCCGAAUACCACAUCAAGUGUGAGUUUCCCAGCGCAACGUGCCUCCCGACUAGGGAUGAUUCCUCGGAAGGUCGUACUGCUUUGCUCAAUACGGUUGCUGUCUAUUUCCAUUUUUUGGAGAGUUUCCUCAUAAAUGAGGUUUAAUCCGCUGCCGCCGUCCAUGAGAACCUUAUUGAGCCGAAAGCCGUCCACAAUUGGACUGAGGCCCAAAGAGGCUGGUGUUCGGGCUGUUCAGAAUUUAGGUUCGUCACUGGCAUUGAAGGUGAUAGCCGUGUUGCUCCAUGGAUUUAUUGCUGCCACGUGGCAGACUUCGGCGAGGCUACGGAGUGCUCGCUUAUGCCUAUUAUUUGAGGCGAAGGUCUCGAAGACCAUUAAUACUGUAUUGUUAUCCGUGGGAAGGUGCUCUGAGGUAUUUUGGGUGAGGAGAUCCUCACCGCUUUUGGCCACCUGCCGGAGUACCCAACAUGCUCUAAGGCUGUGUGUUGAUAUGGUAUCCGCUGUACUAUGGAUUUUGCAGGGCCCGUUAAGCCAUCCCUCCAAUACGGUUCCACGCCGUGUAGUGGGCUUUUGCUUCUUUGUAAUUGAGUCGGGCGACUUAUGAGAGUGCACCCUUUUAGUUUGGACUGGGGGUUUUGUUAGAGCCGGAUUAUCCCAAAAUUAAGUUGGGGUUUUCCAGACACUUUCCAUCGCACAGUAUUUCCGUACUAUGGCUGCCAAGUCAGCGAAGUGUGCUAUGUCACGGUGACUUAUGGCGUUGAGGACUCCCUUGUCCGUGCAAUUGUUGCAAAAGAACAAAAUUGCGUCUUCCUCGCGAUAGUCCUUGACCUUGUUCAUUACAAGGAGGAAUCUGGCCCAAUAGUGAUGUACUGUCUCUUGGGGUGCUUGCCUGAUGUGGGAAAGAUCGUUUGUAUCUGGGUGGGUGGGUGGAUUUAAGUCCAGACCUUGACCCAAUCUGUGAUCCCGGGGUAGGGAGUUUCCGAUCUUGGAAGUUCGGGCUCCGGGAUGUUGCCCUGUGGGUUCGGUAUGCGGCCUAAUUAUGGAUUCAGGGUUAGGGCGGUGUCCUCCCGUGAGCGAGUAUCCUGUUCGGAGAGCUCGGAAAUCCGGACAUAGUUCGUCCUCAGGAUAGAGGGAGAAUCGCCGCAUUACUCCACCACCGCUAUCUGAUGGGUGACCGGCGGAGAGUUAAUCUCCCUUUGGUCGGUUUUAAUCCCGAUCCGAUCGUAGUCCGUAGUGACUCCCAGAGCGGCAAUGCGAUCCAAGAGCUCGUUCAAAGAGGAGAUCUCCAUUGGAUCCAUCUGCUCGGCAAAUUUCGAGCCGAUGUGGAGGCUAUUUUCGAUGACCCGAGAGGUCAUCAUCGGCGCUGCGGCCGAGCGGGCGGUCAUGACGAAGCUGCUUAGCCGGAGAGUUUGGCCUAUAGCCAGGGCUCCCCCAGAGGUGAUGUUGUCCUUGACAACGAGGCGAUCCAUCCUCCUUAUGAUGACGACACAGUGGAACUCUCAAUGAAAGCACCAAUGUCGGUGUCAAAACCGGCGGAUCUCGGGUAGGGGGUCCCGAACUGUGCAUCUAAGGCGGAUGGUAAGAGGAGGCGGGGGACACGAUGUUUACCCAGGUUUGGGCCCUCUUGAUGGAGGUAAUACCCUACGUCCUUGAUAUGAGUAUUACAAGAGUUGAUCUACCACGAGACCAAAGAGGCUAAACCCUGGAAGCUAGCCUAUGAUAUGAUUGUCUGUCGUCCUACAGACUAAACCCUCUGGUUUAUAUAGACACCGGAGGGGGCUAGGGUUACACAAGGUCGGUUACAAAGGAGGAGAUAUACAUAUCUGUAUUGCCUAUCUUGCCUUCCACGCCAAGUAGAGUCCCAUCUGGACACGGGACGAAGUAUUCAAUCUCGUAUCUUCAUAGUCCAACAGUCCGGCCAAAGGAUAUAGUCCGGCUGUCUGGAGACCCUGCAAUCCAGAAAUCCCUCAGGAACCCACUUGACCAAGGCCUUAGGAGCUUCUUCAAAUGAAUCAAUUUCCUCUUGAAGCUUGUCCUUGCCUUUCUCCUUGUCGUCUUGUGGUGGAAGAUCAUCUUGAGCUUGUGUCCCCUUGAAAGAAGUAGGAUCAUACUUCUCUUGUUGAGGAACAAACUUCGUCUUGGGGUAUUGAUCUUCUUCCCACUCAACUCCAUUAGCAUUGAACUUUCGUUCAAAACCAAUACCUUGAUUCUUCCGGUGCCUUCCUUGCUUGCGUACAAUUUCCUUGAAUUGCUUACUCCCGGCAAGGCUCUUGUAAACACCUUUCUCUAUGAUUCCCUUCAAUAAGCUAUUUUCUUGCUCAAGUGUAACUUGGCUAAGAGAAUCAUUGGUGGAAUCAAGAGAACUACUAGAAGCAACAAUAUUGGAUUUAGCAUGAUUAUUGUUACUACUGGAAGAAGAAUCCUUCUUGUUCUUGUUACUAGACUUGACUUGAGGCAUGUAAGUGGAUAAGAGUAAACGCUUGGCAAUGUAAGAAGAACUUUUCUUGCGAAGAUCAUCAUUGAUUGCCUUUAAGAACUCAUGCUCUUGCUCAAGAUUGAGCUUCUCAAAACGUAAUUUCUCAUGAGUCCUAAAAAGUUCUCGAUGAUCUCCUAAGAUAGUUUCAUGAGCUAACUUAAGAGUGUUUAGUUCUUUAGUUAGAGACUCAAUCUUCUCCUUAUCAUUGUCAUUCGUUUCAUCUUGAUUAGCAUGAUUAAUUGACGUUUCAUCAUAGUAUUCAUCACUAGAGUUGUCAAAAAGUAAAGCAUCAUCACCUAACAAGUCAUCUUCAUCACUAUUGAAAUCAACAUACUCGGGGUGUGAUACCUUAGGGCCUUUAGCCAUGAAGCAUCUUCCAAUUCCUUCAUUUGGUGAAUCAAAUAUGUCGUAGGAGUUGGUUGACACAAGUGCUAGACCGGCAACACCUUCAUCUUGAGUAUAUUCGGAGUCGGAGUGAUAGCUUCUCUCGGAGUGACUGUUGGAGUCGGAGCCGGAUACCCAUUCACCAACAUGAGCUUGAUGUCUUCGUUUUGUGUAGCUCCUUGAUGACUUGUCCUUCCUUUCCGAAUCCUUGCUUCUCCAGGAGGGUCUUUGUUCAUAACGAUCAUCCCUACUCCUUCUCUCCCUCGAUGGUGAUUCUUCUCUUCUACUUCUUCUUUUGGGAGAAUCUUCUCUUCUCUUGUGGGGAGCCGUACACUCAUUGGAGUAGUGUCCGAGUCUUCCACAAUUGUAGCAGUUUCGCUCUUGACUAGAAUAUCUUUUGUCAUUGUAGGACCUUGACUUGGUACUUCUCUCUUUGCUUCUAUUCUUGUAGAACUUGUUGAAGUUCUUCACCAUUAGGCUCAAUUCUUCAUUGAAGGUUUGUUUCUCACUUGAUGAUGUGGGAGCUUCACAUGAGGCUUUGUAAGCACCACUUGACUUGUUAUGGAGCUCCUCCUUAUCCUUGUGUGACAUCUCAUGAGCAACAAUUCAUCCAAUGACUUCCAUUGGCUUGAGAUCUUUGUAAUUUGGCAUCAUUUGGAUCAAUGUGCACACGGUGUCGUAUUUUCCAUCCAAGGCUCUUAGGAUCUUCUUGAUGAUGAAUUUGUCGGUCAUCUCUUCACUUCCUAAGCCGGCAAUCUCGUUUGUGAUAAGAGCAAGCCUAGAGUACAUUUCAGCGACACCUUCACCAUCCUUCAUUUUGAACUUGUCAAGUUGACUUUGAAGCACAUCCAACUUGGAUUCCUUGACGGAGUCGGUACCUUCAUGCAUAUCAAUCAAAGUAUCCCAAAUUUCCUUUGCAUUCUCAAGAUGGCUGAUUUUGUUGAAUUCUUCGGGGCACAAUCCGUUGAAGAGGAUAUCACAAGCUUGAGCAUUGUAUUGCAGAAUCUUCAACUCUUCCGCGGUAGCUUUAUGAUUUGGUUCUCUCCCAUCAAAGAAUUCACCUUGCAAGCCAACACACACAAUAGCCCAAACGGCGGGGUUAUGUCCAAGAAUAUGCAUUUUCAUCUUAUGCUUCCAACUAGCAAAAUUAGUACCAUCAAAGUAAGGACCUCUAUGGUGGUAAUUUCCCUCGCUAGACGCCAUACUCUCCUAGGUUGUGAAACCAAGGCUAUGACUUCCAAAAGCUAUGAAAAUCAAGGCAGAUGGAUACCAAAGCUCUGAUACCACUUGUAGGAUCGAAAAUAUGUCUAGAGGGGGGGUGAUUAGACUACUUGACCUAAUAAAAAUCUAGUCUUUUCCCCAUUUUAGUUCUUGGCAGAUUUUAGCAACUAUGGACAAGUCAAGCAAUCUUAACACAAUUCAAGCAAGCAUGCAAAGAGUAUAUGAGCAGCGGAAAGUAAAACAUGUAACUUGCAAGAAUGUAAAGGGAAGGGUUUGGAGGAUUCAAACGCAAUUGGAGACAUGGAUGUUUUUGUCGUGGUUCUGAUAGGUGGUGCUAUCGUACAUCCACAUUGAUGGAGACUUCAACCCACGAAGGGUAACGGUUGCACGAGUCCACGGAGGGCUCCACCCACGAAGGGUCCACGAAGAAGCAACCUUGUCUAUCCCACCAUGGUCAUCACCCACGAAGGACUUGCCUCACUAGCAGUAGAUCUUCAUGGAGUAGGCGAUCUCCUUGCCCUUACAAACUCCUUGGUUCAACUCCACAAUCUUGUCGGAGGCUCCCAAGUGACACCUAGCCAAUCUAGGAGACACCACUCUCCAAGACGUAACAAAUGGUGUGUUGAUGAGGAACUCCUUGCUCUUGUGCUUCAAAUGAUAGUCUCCCCAACAGUCAACUCUCUCUCAUAGGAUAUGGAUUUGGUGGAAACAAGAUUUGAGUGCAAAGCAACUUGGGGAAGGCUAGAGAUCAAGAUUCAUAUGGUAGGAAUGGAAUAUCUUGGUCUCAACACAAGUGUAGGUGGUUUUCUCUCAGAAAAUAUAGGUUGGAAGUGUAGGUUUGUUCUGAUGGCUCUCUCCACAAAUGAAGAGGAGGUGGAGGGGUAUAUAUAGCCUCCACGCAAAAUCUAACCGUUACACAUAACUUCCCAAACUCGGUGGGACCGAAUGGUUAAACUCGGUCUGACCGAUUUAGCAAAGCUAGUGACCGUUAGGGUUUUCGGUGGGACCGACAUGUAACUCGGUAGGAUCGAUAUGAUUAGGGUUAGGGCAUAACAUAAUCUCAGUGAGACCGAUUACACAAACUCAGUGAGACUGAUUUUGGUAAUAAGCUAACCAGAGAGUUGGUGAGGUAAACUCGGUGGGAUCGAUCGCUCAUUCCGGUGAGACCAAAACGUUACAAAGGGAGAACAGAGAGUUUACAUUGCAAUCUCGAUGGGACCGAUCGCUCAUCUCGGUGAGACUGAAAUGUUACAAAGGGAAACAGAGAGAUUACAACCCCAUCUCGGUGAGACUGAGAUCCCUAUCGGUGAGACCGAUUUGCCUAGGGUUUGUGGCAGUGGCUAGGACAUUUGAAACUCGGUGGCACUGGAUAGAAAGAAUUGGUGGGGCCGAGUUUAACUUUUGGUUUAGGUCAUAUGUUUAUAUGAUAAAGUAGUUGGGGGCUUUGGAGCAUAUCACUAAGCAUUUGAGCAACAACCUCAUUAAGCAACACCUCAUCCCUCCUUGAUAGUAUUGGCUUUUCCUAUAGACUCAAUGUGAUCUUGGAUCACUAAAAUAGAAAAUGUAGAGUCUUGAGCUUUGAGCUUGAGCCAAUCCUUUUUCCUUAGCAUUUUGAGGGGUCCACUUUUCUCAUCCAUGCCAUGCCAAUCAUUGAGCUUUCCUGAGAUAUUAAUCUUGAAAUAGCAUUAGCUCAAUGAGCUAUAUGUUGUUAGGAAUUACCAAAAGCACCUAGGGAUAGUUGCACUUUCAUAAUGCAAUAUUUUAAACAAGUUCAACUAACUUAAACCAUGUCACUGCAUUGCAAUCAUGCAAAUGGAGGGUGUGGCUUUCCUGGGGUGGAAGAAAUCACCGAGAAGAAGUGCGAGAAGCUCGCGGAAAGAAUCACCGGAAAACGUUCUCUCUCAAAGGGGGCUGAAUAAGGGCAGGGGCAAAAUGGUCAUUUUCAGAAUGCCAAAACAUGGUGAAAAUGAUUCCAUCAGAACGGGCUCGACAAAAUGAAGACGUGGGCUUUGGAAUCACCUGAUUUGGAGUUGGGAGUAAAAAGUUAUAAUUGUUUUUCUGCCAGGGACCUAUUUGUGAUAAAAUCAUCACAACCAGGCCCUCAGCCAGAAAACAAAACGUGCACUUUGCAAAAAUACACCUUCUCCUCAGGUAAACGUAUUCCGCACUGAAACAGUAAGUAAAUACGCUUUCAGAUUCGUGAAAGCGCGUUUUGGUCUAAAGAAGGACGAAGCUACGCUUUCGGAAGGCGAAGACGUAAUCAUGGGAUUACGCCUCCACUUAUCCACGUCAGCGUACCUGGGACCGCCCGUUGCUCACUUACACGCGGGCCCCGCGUUGACUUCCUUCUCCUCUCCUCUCCCUCCCGCACAUGCUGUCUUCUUCCUCGCGUGACCCUGACUAGAACAGGAAGUAGGGCGAGGCAGAGGGGGCCGGCCAGCUCCAGCCAGCUCCAGCCGAAUGGCGACCACCGGUGGGAGCGGGAGGACGUAGCCGGGGAGCUCACGGAGGGGUAGACGACGCCGGGGAGCAGAGGAAGAAGCCGAGCACCAUUAAAGCAUGUCGGGGCACUGUGCUCCCGUGGGCGAGCGUCGCCGAGCGUUGGUGAGGAAGCUACCAGAGGGCGAGAGGGGUCAAGGUGAACGGAGACGACAUGGGCUAUCUGCCAGACAUGCUCACGCACGCGAAGACGACGAGAGGAGGAGGGGGUCCAGCUCAAACAGCCACUGGACGCGGCCACUGCACUCAGAGCGCGUGCACAGGCACGCCAUUGUCGUGGUCACCGCAUGCACUAGCAUGUAGUAGGGGAGAGGGGCUGGAAUGGGUUGUCUAGAGUGUAGUCCAUCCAGUGGAGGUCUCAACAACGGUGGUAGAUCAGUGAAAAGUGAUAUGGUUAAAAGGUAAUCACCCUCUGAAGUUUACUGCACUAUACUUGUGUGAGAACUGCUGAGCAACAGGGAUUUGAUUGGGUCAAAUGGAGUUGUCUAUGAGGUUUAGGGUAAGAAAGACUUUCACCUUGGUAAUUUGGAGGAUAUUUGGAUCAAGAUUUAAUGUAGUUGCUUUGCAACUGAUCAAAAUGGUCCAGAAACUUGAUCAGGAAGGUGCACUCACAUGGUGAUGCCACAUGGGCUAAAAUUUGGCAAGGCUUAAUGAUUUUGGCCAGACAAAGCUGGUGUAAAAAUUUCAAACCAAUUGGUUUUACAAAAAGGUACUUCCUUCACAGCUAUUCCCUAUGUCCAGAAUCUUGCAAAACUUAUAGGGAAAUAUUGGCUUGAUGAAAUGGUUCCAAAUUUGGUGGAGAGAAGUUAUUUGGGUAGGAGAAUGCCCUGGUAAAAUUUCAGGCAAAAUGAAGCAAUAUAAAAUAUACAUGCUUCACAACCUGAAAAUAUUGACAGAAUCAAAGAUUUGAUGUUGUGCUCACAUAGAUGAUUGGGUGGGUCUGAAUUUUGGAGGAGAGCAAUUAUAUGAGCACAAGAAGAGGCAUGCAAAAUUUCAACUCAUUUGGAUAAACCUAGCUAGCACUCCUUCACAGCUACAGAAAAAUCACUUAGGAAGUUUGGCUAGGCAAAUAAAGUUGAAUUUUGGCACAGGGAAAUUAUUUGGACAUGAUAAGAUGUAAAAAAAGUUUGGGGUCAAAUGGGCAAAGAUAAAUAGCACUUGCUUCACAGUGUGCCAUUUAGGACGGAAUAGGAAAUGAAUUUAUUGAGCAUGAUGAGAAAUAUGGAAAAUGAAAUAUUUUGCCAUAUUUGAGGAAGAUAUGACCCAAACAAUUUAUAAGAAUUAUUUGGGCAUUUUUGGAUGGACAGAAAUAUAGGUUGCUUCACAACCUAGGGCAGAUAGGAUUAUUCCUUUAAUAGAAAAGGAAUAUUUCCUACAAAAAGGAAUUAGGGUUUGGUCAAGCAGUGGAGUGACAUGAUUUUGGAAAAGUUUUUAGGAUGUUGAGCCACUUGGGAGGGGAAAUGAGGAUGAUUUCCCAGGUGGCAAGGCCACAGAACCACUCCAAAAAGAAAAACAGAGCAAAAACCAAUAAAAUCAAAAUCAAAAGAAAAGGGCCAAAAUCCAGGUUGUUACAUACCAACUACCAACUCAGAUGUCUCCAUAGUAAUAUUCAUAGAGAUUACCACCAUAUCCUGGGAGCUGAACAUGAUCAUCUAGAAACAGUCGGUUCUGUGGAGCUUGCGGUCCAUAAGGACUCAGAUGUGGCCUCGGUCCAACAAACGGUGGUAGACGGGGCCCACGGGGAGGAGUGGUGCCUCCUACAUCACGCCAGUCCAUACGAUCCGGCAGACCAAACCGCACGGGGUACAAAUCCCUCAUCACUACAAAAAAAUACACUUCGUGAUGAUACGUGUUUGUCACAGUAGGUUGCAUUUUAUGUCAUGCAUGUACAUCCAUGACGAUUUCAUGACAGAAUCAAGAUAGUCAUACCUGUGUUGUCGUAGAAGUGUUCCAUGGCAUUACCAAAAUUAUCAUCACGGAAGUGUCCACUUCCAUGACGAUAAAUCCCGCGUCACAGAAGUUCUUUCGUCAAGGGUGACCGACACGUGGCAUCCACCGUAACGGGACGCCGUUAAGCUAUCGGGUCGGGUUUUGGAUCCGAUAACCCGUUAACAGCCCCGACCAAUGGGGAUUUUCCACGUGUAAAAUCAUCAUUGGCUGGAGGAAACACGUGUCGGCUCAUCGUUGGGACAGAUGUCAUCCACUCAUUGGAUAGAAGGUGCCUAUGAUACGUCGACACGUGGCACGGACCAACAGAGGCCCAUUCCUAUGAAAAGGCCGGCCCGUUUGACUUGGUCAAAAGGUGGCGGGCCAGCCCAUGUAAAGCCUGUUAACGGCCAGUUCGCAUAUAACCCUUUUAUAGCCCGCUAACCCAAGGCCCGUUACGCCCUAUCCGAAUUAGGCCCAGUAGCGUCAUCUGGGCCACCCAAUAUGAUUCCAGCCCGUUUUCACUUCUGGCCCAUGUAUGGCCCAUGACGUCUUUCGGCCCAUAUGAGGCCCUAUGUAACUCUUGGCCUAUUAACGACCCGUGGUGAAACUGGCCCGUAAUGAACACUGUAUCGCUUUACACCCAUUAACGGCCCGUGGUGAAACCGGCCCGUAAAGAAUAGUGUAUCACUUUAUACCCAUUAACGGGUUGUUAUUCCAUUGGGCCUUUUCUAGCCCAUGUUAUCUUUCGGCCUUCUCAGAGCCCAUUUAUUCUUGGGCUCAUUUCCAACAUUCGUUUACUUACGACCCAUUACUGUGAUUUUUUGCUUGUGGGCCAAAUUCAGCCCGUGGUUACAGUAAACCCGUUUGUGGUCCGUUAAUACUUUGGGCUAUUUUCAUAGCGUCAUCAAAUACGGCCUAUUAACGAUGGCCCAUUAUGGUUGGCCCAUGAACAGAUGAUUCCAACUCUAGCCCGUUUACGGCCAUAAUGCGACCUGUUAUUGGCCCAUGUUUGGCCAAUCGAUCAUACUGCCCGUAUAAGGCCCAUUGAUGAUACGGCCCGUAGAAGGCCCAUCAUUUCUACGGCCCAUAGAAGGCCCAUUGUUUCUACAGCCUGUAGAAGGCCCACUGUUUCUACAGCCCGUAGAAGGCCCACUGUUUCUACGGCCCGUAGGAGGCCCAGUGUCACUACAGUAAAUAUUAGCCCAUGGUUAUUGUGGCCUAGUUUUAAAAAAUAGGUUAUUGCAGCCACUAGCAAAACGCGGAAAAAGAACUGCAAUGACUACAAGCAAACAAAUAAACAAGACAACAAGGAAAUAAAUAAGCAAGCAACUUACGCUAGGCUAUCACGGCUAUCACACAUAUUACAUCCACCAGGCAUCAAAGUUCGCCACCAGUGCAAAAUAAACAUGCCGACAAAAGAAUAUACAAAACUGAGAGCACUUCAGAAGGCACUAGGCCUAGCCAGGUCGGGCCCCCCAAACAGCUCAAGAAGCUGAGUAGACCUCAGUUGUGUCAAUGAUAGAUGCAUCAACACUAGAUUUAAGGCAUGAUGGUGCGCAUGGCAGUCCUCUGACAUCUUCAUUGCAUCUUUGACUUCAAGUCGGAGUUGAGCUUAAGCAAGCCUUUCCGCUUUAAGUUUAGACUGAAGAAGUCGAACUGAUUGAGGCAGCGACUACACAAAGGUUGUCUCACACCUGCUGGUGAGUAGCUUCAACUCACCGUCUUCACCAAGACAGGACCUUGGGGUCAUCUCGCUAUCCUCAAGAUGGUUUGGCUCACUAUCUUCCCUAAAGUUCUGCUUGGCGUAAGAGAUACGAGUCUGAAAGAGAAACAAGGAGACACGUAACAGGUUUCACAAUUAUAUAAGCAAAUAAAUGGAUCUAUUCUGCAUAAGGAACAUGUUUUUACGACUACAAUUUGAAACUGGUAGUUGUUGCAAACAUCCAAUCAGAUGUAAACAAUAAAGCAAACAGCACUGGAGGAAAUGAUGCCUAUCCAAAUCUAUACUAGAACAAAGUUUGAAGGCUUGAGAAGGAUGAACUUACAUUACAUGUUAACACGGGCUGGAAAAAGCCCUUCUCCAUGUUGAUGGAAGGAUAAUUCAAUAAAUUCCCCAAAGAAAAUUCUUUAUAAGUGUUGCCAUUAUUCUACAUUUUGCAAAGAGUAAAUAUAGAUCAAAUAAUAUUGGAAGAAACAGAGGAUAAUGAAGCUCAGGUGCAGACUGAUGAUACAUAAUCAAAUAGCAAUUAAUUAAGUACAGCGUUACAAGGCAAAAGGGAGAGAGGUACUGACAAGAGAAAUGCAGAGCCCAUUAUUGUUUUGAGAUCUUAUGAUCCUUUGAGCAAGGAGAUUCAUCUGAAAUUAGUUUUCAUACAAGAGAGUAGGUAAGGCACAAGCAAAAAUUUAGGAGUUCAAAUUUUGAAUUGAUAUCAUAGACAGUACCUGACGCUGGGCUCCUAGCAGUUCUAAUAGUGGUUUGGCCACUGGAGUAGGGGUAAAGUGUGGUACAGUUGGGCCUGUGUUUUCUGUAGCUGCUGAUCUAUCUGAUUUAAUAGGUAUCACUACCUUUUCCAAAUACCUAUUUUGUACUCCUUGAGGAUUUGCACUCACCCUCUUCCUUUUGGACAUCUAUUUCAAAAGAACAACAUUUGACUGGAAAAACAUAGUGUGACGACACAUGGAAUAGGUACAGAAAAUGGAUAGGUAUGGCAUAUACUCAUAUAUGAUGCUUAAACUAAGCAAAUGGUGUAACAAAGUAGAAGUAAUGCAAGAGGUCAGAUGCAACAUAUGUGCGACCAAUACAACUUUGCAAAGUUAGAGCAAGCACCUUGAUGGGUGAAUAAGAUAGGCCAUCCUCCACCAUGCCAAGUUUGUUAGCCAGUGGAUCGUUCCGCAAUAUUCCUCUCGUGCGCCCAUUCUCAUAUUCAUUUUGAUAAUGUUCAAUAUCUGACAUGCAUGAAAACAUAAAAACAAGUGAGAUUUUCUUUGUAAUGCAGAAGUGAUUCUAAUCCAAUACUGCCUCCCUGUAAACCCCUUUGUGCUAUCUCUGCAAUUCUUUUAAAAGAUGACAUGCAUGCUGUAAUUUGUUGUGUGCAUUAAUAUAAUGUAGCCUACUACUCAAAAUAUGAGAGCUCCAGAAGUGAUGACACUUCACAGAUGAUAGCUUCAACAUAUAGUAAAGAAGAACAAGUCGACCUGACCUGACAGAUUCAAAAUAUACUAAGGGAGAACAACUCGACCUGACCAGUCGACCGCAAGAGAAGAGUAUCAUCUUAAAGAAGAGAAGAAGAGCAAGUAGAUUGAAGAUAUUACAAGUCUUUCAAUACAAUGUCGGUUGGCCACCCAUGAUGAACCAGAGCGCACAGAGAAAUACUAUUCUUUCCGGUCUCUCCAUAUAUGGCUCACAUGCAUUUCGAAACUAAAGUAGGAACAUUUAGCUAACCAAUUAAACAUCUCUCAGUUUUACUAAUAUCAGCAAUAUUAUCAUAUAUGAAUUUGUACAACUAAGCUUGUUUAGCUCGAUGGGUGGAGCAGUGCUAUUACGACAUGAACCACAUAGGCUGAUUAUGGUCAUCAUAAAAUGGGGAAAACAUAAGCAUGAUGAGUACAGUGUUGACCGUGGCAGUGGGAUGGCAGAUCUGAAGCUGCAAACCGUGCAAAGGGUAGUUAGUAACCGAUGCUUGCUUUGAAAUAACAACUAAGAUUUGGUAUGGAGAAUAAAGUACGAUCAACAAGUGACAAAGAAAUGCAAUUAUGCUGUCUCUCUAUAUGUCGCGACACGCAUUUGGAAACUCAAGUGGGACCUUUAGCUAACCAAUUAAAUGUGUCGGUUAACUAAUAUCAGUAUCAUAUCACAAUCAUAUUUGAACAACUAAGCUUUUGAAUUCCGAGUGUUGUGUUGUUUAGCUUGAAGGGUGGAGUAAUGCUAGUACGACAGAAAGCACCUACGCAGAUCACAGUAGAGUAGAUAAAAGGGGAAAACCCUAAGCAUCAAGAGAAAAAUCAGGAAAGUAACUAGCUGGACCAGUGGGUGGCGCACAUGCUUUUCGAAACGAAUAUAGGAACAUUAGGUGACCAAUUAAACAUUCUCUGUUUUAGUGAUAUGAGCAUCAAAUCAGAUUCGUAUUUAAACACGUAAGCUUUGGGUUGACGUCUUGAGGAGCAGUGCUAGCAUGACACGAAGAACCUACGAUGAUGGUAGUGAAUAUAAAGGGGGGAAACCAUAAGCUUUACGAGUGUAGUGACCGUGCCAUGGCAGAUCCGAAGGUGCAAACCGGACAAAGCUACUUCGCAACCAAUGUUUACUUUCAACUAGCCACUACGAUUUGGUACGGACAAGAAAAGUACAGUAAACAAAUUACGAUCUAUUUUCCGGGUGAGAUCGAUAACUUAAGCACAUAUGGAAGAGUACCACCUCUCUUGCGACGCCGUGUAGGCCUAUGCUGAUACGUUGAGGGUGCUGCGGGUGCGAUGGCUGUCAGCGGCGAGGAAGAAGACUUUAGACGGCAGACGGUCUGGUCGGGGGAUAUAUCCUGUUGCCGUCGACGAGGCGGUCGUAGGAGCAGCAACGGCAAGGUGGACGACGACGCCGAUGAAGCGAGAGGAGGCGAUGAAAGGAUCCUGGUCCAGCGUCGUGGAUGAGAGACGUUCAUCUCUUGCAGUGGACGACGGGGUAGGGGUAGCUUCUCCGGCAAGGUGGAGGAUGGGGUGGAGGACGGAGGAGGUUGGCCGCAGUGCGGAGGUUGUCGUGUCGCCGACGGUGUAUGAAUGGGGAAAUGGAGGGGAGUGGGGAUCUCAAACUUUGGGACGCGCUUCUCUAAAAUGGGGGAGAAUUACCCGUUUAAAAUUUCGGACAUCGCGUCGGUUGGGGAUAGGACGGUGAUCUCGCAUCUCCGAAUAUUUGCCGAUAACUAUUUCGGGCGAGGAGAGGGUGUUUUGCCGCCCACGGUUGGUGCCCACGAUGUAUGAACGGGGUUGAAAGGUAGGGCGGUUGUGUCACGUCUGAUGGAAGUUACACAUCUGCCCCUAUUUAAAAUAUUAGCCUACAUCGAUUUCGGACGAGGAGAGUUUGUUUUGCUGCCCACCAUGUAUGAAUGGGGAAAUGGAGGAAGAGACACAUGUCUUUCGGACGAGCUUGAGUCAAAUGUGUUUUGGCGCCCAUGUUUGGCGCCCGCCGUGUCUGAAUGGGCUCAGAGGCCGUCGUGUCACGUCUGAUUGAAGUUACUAGUCUACCCCUAUCGACAACAGUGUAAAUCCGGUCGAUAAGGAUGUCAAGUGUCAGGGGUAGACAGUAAUUUCUAUCUCACAAACACUUGCUUCGGGCAGCCCACAAAUUAUAGUGGGUGUUUAGCUGCUUGGUUCAAAACUUGGGAGAAUUAGCAUUCACGUUUGCCCUGGGACCUGGCAAACUAAAUUCAAAUCCAAUUUGUAUUCGAUUACGAAUAUCCACAGAUAAUUAUAUGUUUUGUUAUUUAUUUCUUCAAAACCACAACAAAGAUUUAUUCCACCUUUAUAUAUGAUUAUGAUUUAGAAAUGUCAUGAUCUUCGAAUUCAGUAGGUUGGAUACACUCCGAGUCAAACAGUUAUUUCAUCCAAUACAAUAUGCUCACACGAAAAACAGUUCACCUUAUGUCAAUCAUACAAGUACCGAGGAUUACCUCGCCUAAAAAAUUCGGAUCAUUACAACACAUGGACAACAUAGGGGGUCUUGCAACAUAAUCCAUUCAGAGACAUGACACAACAUGCAAGUACAAUAAUCUAAUGACAAUUUCAACUCGUAUCUAAAGAAGAACCGGGAUUACCUUGGGCUUUAGAAAGCAGAAACAGCAGGACCUCCUCCAUCUUCAAAUGCAACAUUCUUACUUCCUCCAAUUCUUGGGUUGCUUGCAUAAUGCGUGCCGCUAAUUCUGUAAUUUCCAACCUCAAGAUAAAGAUUACCUCAUUCAUGGCAGCCACACCAUCUCUUUCUGCCUCUAGUAGAGCCUCAAGCACUAUAAUAUUUGUGCUCAAACUGCUCUCCGGCGGUGUUGCCGCUGAACUUCUACCAUCUGGUAACAUGGAUGGCGCACUGCUUCCACAAAUAGAUUCUAGGGUUGUACAUUGUGUCCUAGUGUUAACGGCAUCCUGAAAGGUUUCCGCUGGACAUCAGUAAGAGAUAGUUAUCGUAUGAUCCAGGCAGUAAGCUUACAUGGUAAACAACGGACGAAUUAUUGCUGAGCAUGGCAAACUAUAUUUAAAUGGCUCGAAGCAGCAUCAGCCGAAAAGAAUUAAAAUGGUAAGAUGAAACUAGGGAUGUGAGUGGCAAAUAAACAACAUCCACCAGUCCCAUCUAGUUAGUUUUUGCUACCUCCCUAGUUCAUUUUCCUCAAAAAACAAAAACUCUUUUGAACUAUCAUACCACUAGUGGACUUUAAUCAGGAUUAAACGGGACCUAGUUGACAUCCCUAGUUGAAAGGGAGUGUACAACCGCUAUAUUGAAGUUGCAAGGCAUCUAAGCAAUUGAAAUAAUCCGAGAAAGCACUUAACAGUGUGGCCUCAUAUAAACUACGAAGACAGUCUUGUGAUGAAGUUGAGAGGAAAAGUUAAGGACUCAAAUGAAAUAGGCAUGCAUUUCUUUACGAUAGUACAGCGGGCACUGCUGACAUAUUGGCCAACUCAAGUAUAGCGUAACAACAAAUAAGCAUUUGAAUCAAGCAAUACAGCAAAGUAGACAACUGAACUAUUUGUAAUUCGGUAGGAUUAAACGUUGAGGGCACAAGCCAAGAAAGCAGCCCACUCGCAUUACAUUUCACAUGUACUAAAACACACUGGCUUACCAUAUGUUGCUGUGAAGCCUAGCUGUUGUUGCAAUGUUCUUUGAAGAUAUCGUCAGCAUCCCGUGGUUGCAAAUCUAGUUGUUGUAGUUUAUUCUGCACCAUCUAUUUAGGUAAAACUAAUUUUAAUCGCAUGCACUAGUCAAAAUUGAUCAUCAAUGGUUCAUCUAAACUAAUGAAAGAAGGGUGUGUGCAUACACGACAAUAUAUCUGCUUCCCUCUAUUUUUAUGCUUGUUCGAGGUGCCAGCCCCAAAAGAACAAAUAUUUUGCUUGAUGGGGUUGGCAGCUCCAUAAUUAAUAGAAGCAUCAAAUUAGUCAUGCAACUUGGGAAGAUCAAGAACACACAAACAAGUAAUGAACAGAGGCACGGAGCAAUGAUGUAAUAGCUAGCAUCAAAAAAUGUAGGGUAAAACGAACAAAAAGCAGUGGAACCACAUGCUAGUUUGCUGAUGUGUAAUUAAGCAUAGAGAAUAUUAAGCAGUCUGAUGGAACCAACAGGUGGCAUCAGAAUAAAACUAAAGCAUAUUAACUAUAUGUGCACUGGUAUGUAAUUUAGCACAUGUAACAUGUUCACUGCUAGAAGUAUGGCCCUACAGGUGCAAGCAGAAUAAUGCGUCUCAUGAAAAACUGAAUGAUGCCCUAAAGAAAUUCAAAGGUGCGGUGCUUAUGCUAGGAAAGUGAACGUAGGCGCUGGCCGUUGGAUAAUAGUACCUGAUUCUCGACGGCGUAUGGAUAUUGUUGUCAUACUUGAUAGCUAAGGAUCGUCGAUGGUGCUCGUGUUGCGGUUGAGUUUGGGCCGGCUGUCGCCAUCGCUGAAGCGGCUCCGGUGCUACGGUUGCGGCGCCUGUCGACAUACAAGAAAGCUCAUCUGUGGUAAGUGAAUAGUUGCACGAUAAAGAGAAAAACCGAAGGAGUAAAAAUUGAAAUAACCUGAUGAGGCUGCGGCGUCGGUAAAGCAGGGCCAUGGAGUUGAAUAUGGCGUCCGUGUAGUGGACGAAGGCUUCGGCGGGCGCGUUGUACAGUGCUUUCGGUGAGGCGGAUCUGUUGUGGCGGAUGAGGGCUUGUAUGAAGGGCCAGCGAAGGGGCGGACGGGGGAGUCAGUGAAGGGCCUAUGCUAUGGUGUACGAGGGCGCUGGUUAAGCAGAUCCGGUGCGGUGGACCAUGAUGGCGGUCAAGGAGAUCUGGAGCGGUGGACAAGCCAGUCGCUGAAGCGGCUCCGGUGAAGUGGUGAGUUGGCAGUUGGGGGUUCCAAGGUGCGGAAGGUAGAUCCGGCGGGGUGUGAGGUCCACCGCUGCGGCGGAGGACUAGAUUCGGCGGCUUGUCGUGGUUGUGGGGGUCGGGGAGGGGAAGGGGAGGGGCUCUGGGGAAGAAUGUUGGGGGCAAAGAGGGGAAAACAAUGGAGUUACCAAAGCAGCCCUUUUCCGUUCAUGUGGCAGGGGUAAAACAGGAAUAUCGCAGGGCCAAAAUUUUGGGCGCGUGAUAUUUCGAUGUGAGCGGGAAGUUUAAAAGCUUUUGGCACCUAAAAUUAUAAGUAUUCUGCUCUCGUACGGCCGACUAUGAUAUCAUGGCCGACAAUUUGUUUGUUUUGCACGCAAAAAAAUGUGCAAGUUUUGAAAAUCAAUGUCUCCAACUCGAAACUUACAUUGUCCAUUCAAUUCAAAUAUGGAUAAUUGAGCUACUACAAGCAAAUACCAUCAUACGGCCAAUUCAAAUGAAAUUCCAAAUGUGUCUAUCCUAAAUAUGAUGACAAAAGCAAAAAUGUGUAUGUGUAUGAAUAAAGUGGAUGAUUAUAAAGUUUGAACAUGCCCAUAUGUGUACAUCUCUAGGUUUGAUAUAUGAAUUUGAAAUCAUGAAAUCCCGCCUUAAAAAAUGUACCUCAGUUUAAAUGAAUUACAAAAGCUAAUGAUGGAGUCGAAUUCCAAAAUUCCAAUCUUAGGUUUGUAAUUCUGGUACAUCAAGGUAUACCACGCUUGUUCAAAAGUAUCGUUAUCUCAUAGUACAAACUGUGAAACAAAUUGAUCAACCAUGAGUGCACAAUUUCUCAAUUACGCUAAAGUCCCUCAAAUAUAGACACCUCACUCUUUAUCUGAAGUCACCCCCACCACCACCACACACACACAUAGAGAAGUCGUUCUCUCCCCCAAACACCAACACACGAGCACAUUAACACCCCUCUCUCUUGUAAAGUCCGGACCCCAACAUAGGUCUCUAUCACUUUGUCUCUCGGGCAUGCACACAUCUCUUCCCUCACUCUCUAGGUCUCCCGCUAUCUCUCUUACCCAAUCACACACACUAUGUAGAGUGUAUAUUUCCCAUACACACAAAACAUCGCCCCCAAACGUCUACCUCCCUAGUUAUGUGGUUCUCGCGCACUCACCUCACACACCACCCCCACUGCAAACAAGCACACUUUGUCUCCUUGUGCACCACUCUCCUGUUUCUAUCUCUCCCACAUGCGGACCCGCCCCAGCUCCUUCCCUGUAUACAUAUAUGUCGUGACUCUUUGCAUAGCUCCCUAAUGUAUAAUCAUUCUCGAUUUCGCACAUUGUUCUCUACACCAUCUAUUCUAGAUCUCUCAUGAAGUCCCUAUCACACACACGAUGACUCGCUUCCCUUGCAUCUCCGUUCAUAGGCCAAUUUCGGACAACAUCAACAUUGUCUACCUAUCUAUACGCCAUUUAUGGACACAAACGACCCCUCUCGCCCCCUCUCUUCCUCUCUCUCUCUCCGUCGCUAGCUCUCUCUUUCUCUCGCUCUCACACCCCUCUCCCACACACACACUCGAUGUCUCUUCCAAAUAAUCUGCUCCCCCCCCGCCCGCACCUGUGCUAUCUCGCUACUACACAUGUCACACCAUUCCCCCUUCCCUUAUACUAGGUGUACAUCAUCAGUGGUCUCUCUACUCCACAUACACUCUCUCCCUCUCACACACAAACGCGUGCACAAACACACACAGACACGCACAACCACCCAUUUAUCUGGAUACUCAUCUCUCCUCAUGUCCGCAUGUGUAUCUCAGACACUCACUAUCUAAUUAUGUAUAUGUGUCUCCACGUUACACAACACAAAGCCCCAUGUACAUGUCUCUCUAUCCUCCACACACAUAGACACAAAGAAUCUGUUAUCAUUGCCUCAGUCUCUAACAUAUCACACACGCACAUUGUCUCUCUCUCUCGCAAACACGCUCAACAAGGGUUUCCCCGUGAAUAACUUACCAUCUAUUCAUAAACAGUCAUGGCAGUACGGCGAACACGAGAUGUGAAAAAGAAUAAAUCUACACGUGCUUAGACCACCUAGUAUGACUACUAGGACUAGAGCAAGCCAAAAAGCACGCUGCCGUCACCCCCUCCUUGUCGGCGACGGGAAAAUCUUUGUUUUACACAAUCGAGAAGUCAUUGUGCUAAGGCCCCACAUGCCGAGGCGUUGAAUAGAAUGUAGAUGCUAGUUUACAGAAGCAAGUAUUGAUAAUACGUUUGUAUCUCCAUACUUAUAUUUCUUGUCUUAUAAAAAACCGAGUUGGUGAUGAUGGUACGUGUGCCAUCUUGCAAUAUAGACCGUCCGAUCUAUAUCUGACGGAUGGAAAUUAAACUAAAAGAUACCUUCACCCCUCUCCACAUUUGCAGACAAGGCCUUCCCUCGUUCAUCCUUAUCUCCAACAAACCUCAUUGUUGAGCAAUUAAGAAAGGAAGCCUCUGGAACAAACUGGCCUGGUGGCCGCUGCCGGCGUCAUCAAUCCCCAUGCCUCUGCUCAGUCCGACCACCAACCACCACCACACCCCACUCCUCUUCACCUUAUCUCAUAUUUCUCGAGAUAUCAUUAGUUUUUACACAUGGGAUUACUCCCGCAAGGGUCAAUCACAACAAGUGUUUUAUAAAAAAAUGCAUCUUGAUGUUCCGUGCAAUGCACGGAUCUUGCUAGUACUCCUACACAAGACUAAGUUGGUGAUGCUGGUGUGUCUGCCAUCCAUCAUUUCUGACCAUUAGAUCUACAUCUAAUGAUUGUGAGGUAAGUUGUUGCCUUUUCUCACCAACAUCCCACUUGUCUACCAAUUUGCAGAAAAACCCAUAAUUAGUAUCUUAAAACCAACCACAUCCCUCCCUGACCUCACCAAAACAGCCCAAGGAAUAUAUUCUAAUUGAAACAUAAUAUAUCUCUAGUGACAUAUGUAUAUCAAAAUUAGAGUGUUUUGUACCAAGUUUGUGAAUAAGUAUUAUUCUAAUUAUGAUUCGUUGCAACGGACAUGAACAUUGCUAGUAUUUCCAACCAUGCAUUUUUCCUAGUAUUCCAUAGUUUCGAGUUUUCCAUCAAGAUAUUAGUCACUCAUGGUUGAUAUUUACUUUCAAUCAUGUACACAUAUGCACUAUGUAACUAGCCUUGCUUAUUGGCUUCCAAAGCUUAACUUUCACUCCUACUUACAAUAUGUGGAGUAUUUAACAAAAAACUACCACUUUCAACCAGCCCUAGGAAGAAUCUAUUAUACAAAAAAUAGCAAAAACAUACCCAAAAUUUCUUAAUCCACGCCAAAAACUACCUAGUACUCCUACCGAUUAUGUUCGUUUAAACCCAUUUAUGAUAGGGUUGGCCCACACGUCCGUGCUGACGAGGCAGCUUAAACCAACACAUUUUGUUUGACCGUUGACACGAGGGACCCACAUCUGACCUUCUAUCCUGUUAUUCCCCCUCAAAUCACUAUUUUUCCUGAACAUUACUUCAAACAAUACUGAUGCGUGUUUGUGGGUGGUGCCAUGAUGAGUGAGUUGGCCGCCGCUCCGCCGGACGGGCCGGACGUCGCGCUGGCCUCCGCACGGGUUGGCAGGCUGGCCCGAGCGUGACUCACGAGCAAGCAAGCCGCCGUGCUGGCCUUCGCUCGAGCCAGAUGGCUGGCCUUAGCGCGGCGCGCGUGAGCAAGCCGCCGUGCUGCUGUGGCAAUCUAGCUAGCAAACCUUGCAGACAAGCAGCUGGACGGAGCUAUCUUGGCUGGCUAGCGGCUGCGAGCGCCGGACGGAGCUGGCAUCCGGGCUGCCGCAACAUGGGCUCCGCACCGCCAGCGGUUUUGACCUCGCCUUCUGCCGGCAGCGGUAGCUGCGUCCCAUGGUCGAGGAUGACUAGGUGGACGGGCCGGAGGUAGGAGGUCACUCGAGGAUUUUUGUUGGUAAGAGCAUGUACAAUGGUUGAUAAGGUACUCUUAUCUUAAGUCUGCCACGUAUGCAAAUGGUAGUAGUUUCUUGGCAUUUUAGUGAUUUCUUGCAUUAUUAGAGCAAGUACAAUAGAGUUGAGUCAGCAGGCUAUAAGAAAUAAACUAGUAUAUUUCUGCUUAGUUGGAGGAAAGAGAAGAGGAGAGAGAAGGUAAGUGGGCUCUUCGUGAAGAGCCAGCUCUAGCACGUGCUCCUAGGCACUUUUUGAGAAUGAGAAGUGGGCCACAUAAUAAAAAAGUAGUACACUCUUUUGAUCUAUUAUUGUACAUGUUGGCUAUAAGAUGGGUUGUAGAUGACAUGGCACUGGCUUAUAGCCAGCAGCUGGCUAUACUAUUAACCAUGCUCUUAGGGGUUUCUUGUAAGGAACAAUGUACGUACUACUAGCGACAAAAGGCGAUUCUAGGUUGCAUUGUACUCCAACGAGUACUACUAGUGGUCGCAGGAGUGUAUACCUCGUUUUGUGGGUUCGAUCCCGGUCGAACGCAUGGCGGCCUUUUAAAAAAAUAGUACUACUACACUUCGCUGCGAGCCAAUAUUUUACACGGGUAGUUUGAGUUUUGAAGUCAAACGGACGUGCGGCCCCACAAUCUGGGUGCACUGGACAUCCUAGCCACGUGAACGAGUUUUCCUUCCCAGCAUCCUGUGGCUCGCGUGCUCGCCCUAGCCUCACCUCGCUUGCAGCUUCCUCAUCAGCUAGUAGCAUAUUUAAACUAGCGCCUCCCAAUUAAGCCCGAGGAGCCGGAAAAGCCUGGCGGGGCAUUGGGAACUGUGCAAUAUGGCUCUGUACGUAAAGUGCUCUACUACUACUCUAUAGCUUGUGGAGUUGCACGCAUGGACUUCACUCCAUUAUCGGCUCUACUAUAAAAGAAAUUCCUCUUGACGUGUUUUUUUAAACGGAGGAAAAAGCUUUGCUUCAUCUCAUUCAUAAAGAAGGAACUACUAACAAAGUUCGACGAGAUCCAUUACACCUCCACAAAUGGAAGCGAAAAGCCUAGUCUCGCUGUAUCAAAUAACUCAAAUGUUCUGCCCCCGCAGUAACCGUCGCUGAUAAACAAGCUGCUAGUGUGUGCGUGAGAGGAGCGGCUAAGUAGGCCAGCUACGUGAGAGGAGCGGCUGAAUAGAGCACUGAGAGUACCCACUAGGCCACUACGCAGGUGUACUUCCCCUACAUUGAUAGUACAACGAUGGUUCUAGAGAACAGUAGUACCCUCCACUUCCAACUGUAGCUCCUUGGCCCUGAGAUUCAAGAGUUCAAAACCGGUGCACUAUACUAGACUAGACUAGAAGUACAGUACAACGCACUACUAGUUGAGAAAAGUAGUACUAGUACUGCUACAGUAUGAGUACGUACUCCUCCGUCACAUAAUGUAAGACGGUUUUUGACACUAGUUGGCGUGUACAAAAAAUGGCAAAAACAUACCCAAAAUUUCUUAAUCCACGCCAAAAACUACUACCUAGUGCCAAAAAUUUCUUACUAGUGCUAUUAUUUACUGUAUAAUGCAAUCCCAUAACGUUCCAUAAUGCUAGUACUCCCUCUGUCCAGGUGCAUAAGGCACCUAAGAGAAUUUAGGAUUUUCAAGUAUAUUAGUCGCCCUUCAUUAGUUAGCACUAAUGACUUGUAUGCCUACCCCAAUGCACUUAGCGUUUUCAGCUUCACAUUUAUCUCCCUUCCAUAUGCAAACCAAUCAGCCGCCUCUACCAUUUACUUUUUAUUUGCAUGCAUGCAAGCUGGACCUAGAGAAUUGUGCGAAACAAUCUGUUAGCCUAUGCAUGGUUAGUCCUACCAUCAUUACACUUAAUGCGGGAUUAACUAGAGGGAGAGAAAAAUGUGAUGAGCGUUCAAUCAACAUAUGCCUAGUUCACGGUGCCAUUUCUUAGGUGCCCUAUGCACCUGGACGGAGGGAGUACUAGUAGUAAAUAAUAGCCUCACCCUUCGCUGAGGAACGAUCUACAGUUGGAAGGGACGAGGCCCUGCGGUUACUACACUCUUAUCUCCUCCUCGCCAGUUCCCCUCCCCCCGAAGAGAAGGUAGUUCGUCGCUUCUCCCAUGGAUUCUCCAGGCAGUUCUCCUCCUUGUCGGGGCUGGGAGACCUUGGACGACGAUCCUGUGGGAGAAAUCGCACGCCGCUCCGAUGUCCUCACCGCCGCAAGACUUGGUGCUUCCUGCACCAACUUUUUCAAGACACUACUUAAACAGGCCAUGCUUGUUGGUCUUCCAUGCAUCCUCGAGGAGAAGGUUCUUCUAUGGGACAAUCCUUCGAAAAGUCCACCGCUCCCUGGCCAUGGUUGCACGUUGACUCCUCUAGAGUUGCCGACGUUGAGAGGUAGUCGGAUUUUGUCCGAUGAGCAGGUCAGUAAUGGAGUUUGAUCAUGUAGUACUUAGUUAUUCCAUUUCCAUCCCGUAAUUUCUCCGCUGCCCACCAUCUUAUAUAUAGGUCUGGGUCGGUGCCAAUGAAGAUUGGCUUGCAUACCUCCGGCCGGAUACCACCAUCAUUUUGCACAACAUCCAUAGCAGUGCGGCCGUUCUAGUAGACCCCUUCUCCACCAUUGGGAUCGGCCUUCCGGACUGGUUGGCCUUGAAUACGUAUGAUGAUGCCUACAUGAGAUUGAAGAAGAUAGCAAUUGCGGACCCGCUGACAAAGCGACACGGCUACGACAAUUACUAUGUCAUCGCGGUGUUCGACAUAUGGAUUGCCAUCAAUGCAAGAGGCAGUAACGGCAGAGGCUGGCGCAUGUUGGCGGUGAUAGAUUUGUACCCCUACACGUUCGAAGACGCCGUGUGCCAUCUAGGCUGCAUCUUUGCGGUGACAAGCCAGGGGACUUAUUUCAUCUGGUUGCCAUCCUACGGUAUGGGAGAUUACAAAUGGAAUGCACAAACCAUCAUUUGCAUCCCUAACGGCACUCCAUUAUUUUGCAGGGACUAGUCAUCCCCCGAUCAAAAUAAGAUCGCCGAUCCUGGAUGUGCAUUUGCAUCCGCGAUUUGGUCUAACCUGGAACCUUGUAGCUGACUUUGGCAUAUUGGGAUCAACUAUCUUAGCGGUCGUUACCCAUGGUACCACUAAUGUGCAACAUGGUCACACAAUCUACCACGAUCGGACCAUCACCAUCUACCCAGGUAUUCCAUUUUUAACCCUCUCGCCUUCUCUUUCAUUGUUGUACUAGUAGUAUACUUUGUAGUACUAGUAGGAGUACGUUUUACCUUGGAGGACGCGUAUAGAUAGCUAGGCCCUUGAAGACUUUAACCCACUAGCUGCCACCAUUUUUUUCAUGUCUUACUAUCUCAUCCAUGUAGCCAAGAGUGGCUAUAUAUAAUAAGCCGGUUAUUUUACUUCCUCUAUAUCGGAGUAGUACUAUUUGCUGCACAGUAUUACUGACCUCCAUAUUUGAGCACAACAUUAUUAUGCAUGGACCUUGACUAUGUACAUCACCAUGUGUCCAGAUCUGGGAUGCCGUGUGUACCAGAUGAACGGCGCCGAGUUCGACCCCCGUGGUGCUACGUGAGUGCCGAGGAACACUCUUGGAGAGUACUCGCUUUUCAUCGGGGACAGCUACCCCAUUGUGAAGUAGAUGCCACCUUCCGUGCACGACACGGAAGGCCUGCCGUUCAUGAAGCAUGGUUGUGUCUUUAGUGCGCACCGCCGGAUGAACGACAUGCUGGGACACGCUAUCCCUGAUUUAUGCCGCUUCAGCUUGGAUGAGUCUCCAUCAUGUGGAACCGGACUAGAAAGCUGCGACAAUGAUUCCCGUUGCCCACUACUAUGGAUCAUGCCAUCCAUGAAGAACACCAGGGACUGGAACCUAGAGGAGGACAUGUAGCCCAUCUAUAACGUGUAAGUGGAGUAUGGUAAUUGUGAACGGUAGCGCUGUGAAUAUAUGUAGACUAGUCGUGCACAAAUUUAUCACAUGAAUUGGAGAUGAACUUGUGUGGCCUACUGGCAUUUGUCCUUUAGAAUUUAUUACUAGUAAAUGUGUUAUGUGUACGUGCAACUUGUGUGGUUGUUGCACGGGCUCCAACACACUCUUUGAGAAAAAAAGUGGCAUAGCUUUGGAUAUACGUGACGUGGCGGCAUCAUACAGUAGCAUCGUUCGCUAUAGUUGUAGUACACUCCUACUAGGACGACAACUCCUAUAAACCUUGCGCUUGGCUCUUUGCCUCUUCGAGAGGUUCAACAGUUUGUACUCGUGUGAACCUUGCACUUGGCUCUUCGCCUCUUCGGAAGGUCCAACAAUGAUGAUACUACAGUACAAUAUGCUUCUGGCAAUCUGACACCGAUUGAACUGCUGCACGUCCACCGCGAGGGCGAGAGCGAGGGCGAGGGAGAGGGAGAGGGAGAGGGAGAGGGAGAGGGCACUGUAGUCAAAACCCUCUCCUCGUCCUGCGAACCACCGCGCGCGUGGGCGAGGGAGAGGCGUAGUAAGCAAGCUUCUCCUCGUUCGGUGAUUUGAUGGGACACAUCAAAGCAAUACUAGUACUAGUAGUAGUAGUCCAUACUGCGUCCUUUCCGAUUAAUAUGGCUUAAUUUUAAACGAAAAAAUACACUGGCGGUCAACGUAUGUAACAAUACGCUCUUUACGGUCACUAUAUAUAGUUUUGCAGCGAUUAUACGAUCACUAGCUCAUCGUAGAGCACCGUAUUGCACCCUACUGACCGGCCACAUAGUCGACGUGGCACUUUGUUGACUAGUUAAAUUGUCACCUGGUUUCUGGGUCCCACCUGUCAGUUGGCAGAGCAAAGAAAUCAAUUAAACAAAACUUUACGCAGGCGCGACACGAGUCCAACCCUUGCGCGCUAACCGCCCUGGAUGUGUAUGUGAGUGCAUGCAUGUGUCCUCCCUCGGUCUUCCAACAAAGAGUGUACAUCGGCUAUAAAACAAAGAGUGUAGUACAUGAUGUACAUCUACACUUCCAAUGCAUUUAGCCUUUAAUCUAAGUCGAUAUUGAUUGACUAAUGCACCAACUUGUGUUGUAGGUAUAGGCUACAUGUCUAUCCUUAAUUACAGCAUGCAACGGCCUUCAUUUAAUCUUCUUAUCUCAAUGGUCGCAUGCACACAUAAGUCUGCUACUUUUGGGCGUUAAUUAUGCCUUGGUCAAUGUGUAAAUCUCUAAAUGUACAGUCUUUCACGGACGUAGGGAGUAGGUUGAGCACUUGAGCGUGAGCGUGUGUGUUGUGUCGUGUGUUGUGUGUCGCAUGGGUGCAUGAGUGUUGCGUGCGUCCAUGUGUACGUGUGAGUGUUGCAUGUUGCAUGCAUGGGGCUUACUCCCUCCCAUUGACAUGUUCAUAUUUCAAGAUUCCUAUGUUCCCUCCAUAUGGUGAUACUCCCUCUGUUCCCAAAUAGUACGGAGUAAAAGCCUCCCUCUGUUCCCAAAUACGGAGUAUUUGUCUUUCUACAGAUUUCAACAAGUGACUAGGUACGGAGUAAAGUGAGUGAAGGAGCAUAGAGGCAUAGGGAUACUGUAGAAAGGAAGUCCUCGCGAUCCAUUAUUGCCCAUCUCGGUCAGAGAGAACUAUUCAACUAGUCUUCGCAGUGAAGUGACAAUACACGCUGCAGCAGAUGGGACACGCAAUUAAUAAGCUGAACCAGCGUGUUGGUGUUACUAAAUCAGCCUUACCUAGUAUUGCCAUCUCUUCUUCUUCCUCCUCUCUUCUUCUUCCUCCUCUCUUCCCCAUCGUCGGCCACACACCAUUUACCCCCGCACACUGCUCGCCCGCCCGCGCCAUCUUCCUUGGUCGCUCGCGCGUACCAUAUCCCCCUGCUCACUGCUCGGCCACACGAGGAGAAGCUUCUUCGCUCGCCCGCCCAAAUCCACUUCCCCGCUGGCUCGCAGGCACCGAAAACCCCAAUGGCAGAACCGACUGACACGCAGAGCCGCGAUUGGAAUUCCCUCCCCAAUGUUCUCUUGGAGCAGAUCUGUAGUCGUAUGGACCUACUCAGCACCGUCCGUCUGGCCGCAUGCUCGGUGUCUUUGUACCGUCUACUCGUCUGCAACCGGCCGGCUCUUUUCAAGACACCCUGCUUGCUGAUGCCUGAUCCUCGCAGGUGGCCUAGACACCGACUUGACGAUCCUACGGAGGUUGCCGUGGUGCCCCUCGACAUGCUACCACUACCCGUCCACUUGUGCUUCAUGCGCGACCACUACUGGGCGGUCAUGAAGGCCAACUGGAUCGUCCUCAUCCACCACACUGGUAGUCCGUGGCGUCUUGUGGAUAUCUACACCCAGCGAGAGAUCACCCUUCCAUCGUUGGAUGCCGCCGCCAUCGAGCCUCGCGGCCCCCCGGACACUCCUGCCUACUACGCACGAGACGCGUCAAGCUUUUGGCUCGACCUCUGUUUGCAGAAAGUUGUAAUCUGCGAAGUGCCCACACCAUCAGAAGACUACAUGGAUUACAAGCUCAUUGCCUUGUUCAACAUGGGAUUAGUCUAUCUGGAAUCUGGUCGCCAUACAUGGUUAUGGCUCAUCAUCAAUCCUGUUGAGGCAACAUUUCUGUCUGAUGCUAUAGUGCAUGAUGGCAUCGUUUACGCGGUCGACCCACAGAUUGGCUGCCUAUACUGGUGGAAUCUAUCGUCGUGUAAUUGUUCUAUCUCAUCUCAUCUUUACCUUAUGAAUACGACUCCUGUUCACUUUUUACAAAUUUAGAAUGCAUAGCAUGUCUAUAACCACAUCAUUGCUAUAUGUUCCUCUCAUUUCCUAGAUUUUUAUGACCACACAUGUUAUUGUUAGAGUUGAUAUGAGAACAAUUGGCAUCUAAUGAUUGUUAGAAUACAUAUUAUGAGCAUAACAUCAUGAUUGCUAUAUGUUACUCUCGUUUACAAGAUUUUUAUAAGAACGCAUGUUAUUGCUUAGAGUUGAUAUGAGAACAGUAGUAGUAAGUGCUAUGGUAGAAUAUGAGUAGGCGCUGUCAUAGCUGUUUUCCUCUCAUUGUUACAUGAUGUUUGAACCAUGACAUAUUGCUAGAAUAUGAAAGCCAUUGGCUUAUUUUUUUAACUUGGGGUAUGAUUAUGACCACGGCAUUGCAAUUCUCUGUCUAUGAUAUGUGUCACUGUUAUAAUAAUCUUAAUUCCACACAUACUCUGAACAUGAUUGUUUAUUUUUGUCCUUGUGGUCUCCAAUUUGAAUUGUUGCAGCAGACGCAAAUGCGUUGGCCUUCAUGAUUUCAGGACCUGGAAUCAUACCAGCCGAUGGGUGGUGGUUUAUCGCCCGUUCAGCUGACGACGGUCAUUUGAUGCUCAUUCGCACGUACCAAAUUGACCAAACCAUUACAUCAAACCACAUGCAGUACAAUGCAUGGGGCGUUCGUGACAUUGAUGGCUAUGGCUGCUUCGUGUUCGAGAAAGAUCCCAGCUCCGUUGGGCCAGGCGUAUUCAACUGGAGGCGGGUUUACAGCCUCAGCAACCACUCCUUGUUCCUCGGGCUCAAUUAUCCGAUCACCCAACCAAUCAUCGAUCAUAUCACUGGCGAUGAUUACUGUGCUAUGCAACUUCCAUUCGCGAGAGGGGCUGUGUUUACACAUCAUACCAUGGGUUUCAUGAAUCACCAUAUCCAGAGAUUCGUCGAACAGCUUGUUGCCAGAUAAUCUUCGGUGUGUGAAAGGCAUUAAGCUUCCAUGCGAUGGAUGGCUUUUGCAAACCCGACAUGCGGCGAUGUGGUUCAUGCCAACAGCAAAUAUGCACAACUUGAUUCGUGCUAAUAUCUACACUGAGCCAUGUAUUCUGCUGCUGUAGCAUGACCCUCUUUUGUUGGAUAUUAUGUAAUGUUGUUAGUUUGAAGCACUCCUCUGAUUUGAAGGAUAGAUACCUUCCUGGGAUCAAGUGCAUCCUAACUCACCUGCGUAGGAUGUACUGAUAAUGAUGAUGGAGAUGCUGUGCGUACUUGUUAGUUAAACCUAUGUAUAAAUUGUGACACAAAAUACGACUAGUAAGUAGUACAGUAGAAUUGACGUGACAACACGCUGCGCGUGAGGUGACACAAGAAUCCCGACGGCGUGUUCGGGUAUUCUGGACUUCAGAUUUGGAGUACCACUUAUCUGCCGAAAUCUUUCAUCAUUCACUUAAAACAGUCGAUUGAUCAUACAUUGAGUACCAUAUAACUGGAAUUACCGAUGCAAGUCGAAGAAGGAUUGGCCAGUGCUGCCGGCUGGCGUCAAGUUCGAUCCCACGGAUCAGGUGCUGAUCGAGCACCUUGAGGCCAAAGUGAGUGCUGACAACGCGAGAUUUCAGUCUCUCAUCGAUUUUUUCAUACCAACCAUCGACAGCGAGCACGACAUAUGCUACACCCAACCCGAGAAACUUCCAGGUAAGACACCGAUCGGCCGUCUACUUGAACAAACAUAUUCCUUUGUUUAUAGCUCUAUUUUUCUUUUUAGACGCAGACCUGGUGAAGCAAUUACAAUUUGAUAGUUAAUAAAAAGUGAAACAAGUGACUGCAACAUGCCAAAGAUGUUAUGAAAAUGCCAACUAGGUACACUAAAACAUGUAUUCCACAAUACCGCAGGUAUCACACUGAGUGGCCUAAGGAAGCAUUUCUUCCAGCACAAUUCCUAGGCAUUCAAAAGGGGCACAUGGACACGUCGCAAGAUACAGUCGGAGUGCAGCAUGCACGCGAUGUGGCACAAGACCGACAAUACCUUGCCGGUGAUGGUCAACGGCCGGCAGACGGGCAGCAAAAAAGGUUCUGGUGCUGCACACCAACAAGAACUUCGACCAGCAGAGGACCAACUGGGUGAUGCACCAGUACCACCUCGGGGACCUGGAGCAAGAGAAGGAGCGGGAGCUGGUCCUCUGCAAGAUUUUCUACUAGACGAACACUAGGGCCAGGAGUAAAAAGAUUAUAAGUUAGUUUGGUAUUGGUAGUUGUACUACCUUGUCGUCCGCAAGUUGGUAUUGUUGUUAACGAUCUUUUGGUAUGAACUUGCAUUUGCUUCCAACCAUCAUGCCGAGGGUCGACGUGGAUAUAAAGCUGAAUCAUUUGUUUCGAAAUGAAUUUUCAGGCACCUGAUUUUUAUUUGAUGGGUAGCAUAAGCACCCGCCGUUUGAAUUCCCAGUUCUCCAAUUUUUUCGAAACAAGUGCAUGCACUUAUUAUCACGAUAAAAAAACAAUAUCCGUGUUGCAUCCCAGUUAUCAGUCUGUACUUGUAGAAUUCUCUCGUUUAUUGAGCACGUAUAUUGUUUUUUCAGGUCGAGCAAGUUUCAACUGGGUUGUAGACUGCCCAGGGUUGGUUUUGUUUUUAACAGGCCCAGCCCAUGACGACAACGGGGCACAAAGAUCCAGCAGGUAUCUACUGGCCUCUGGCCCGCCAGUGUUAGUUAUAUUUUGUCUUACAACAUCCGCAUGCAGUUUUUUUACCGAAUCAAACACACAGCCCAGUUCUAUUAUCCUCUUGAAACGCAUGUCCUACAUCCGUUUUCUAAUCUCUACCUAUAGUUUUACUAGUUCAUAUACACCUAUCAUUAUAUUGAAAACACAUAAAAUUCCCUUUUCAUAUUUACAUCCUUAUUUUUGUUGUUUUUUCCCACCCAGCGCUGAUUUUUUUACCACUGGUUUUCUCUUAAACCAACUCAAUUGUCCCACGUCUUAUUUCCUUACAAAAACAAAAUGAUUUUUUUGGCAAAUCAAUAAGUUCUUAAAAAAAUGUUUAUCAUUUCGGGAUUACAACAGGUCGGACUCCACCGAAAUAUGCAAAAUAAGGUUGAAAUUUUUGACCGUGGUCCUGGGCAGAAAAUGGGCUGUAAUAAAUUACUUAAGAAUUAGCAAAUGGGCUGCAAAUUAUAAAAAAUAGCAAAUGGGCUUUAUGUUGUCUGCCACAGAUUUGGAGGCUGACUUGUGGGCCUACUAAGUUCAUGCGUACACAAGGUUUCUCAAAAAAGAAACUUAGUCAACAAUCGACUCUACCAGCGUCAGACCGUUAGAUGUCAAUCUAACGGCAAUCGUGCUUCUUCAGUCUCUGAUCUUCCUGCCCCAGCCGCCCAAACCAGCGCCGUCGGAACCGCCUGCUCCCGCCUCCCAUGGCCGGCAGUGCUGCCGGGCAGGCCUCACGGCCCCAUCAUACUCGCAUCACUGGCCUGUCUAUCCCUCUACUCACCCCACACCUCCUGUUAUUUUCUGGCGAUGGCAGCCGAACCAGUCAACCCUCGUACUCUCCACCGCGUGGGCAGCCACUGCCGUGUCUUCCUCGGCUCCGUGUCAUUCCCUUCGUAGGCCUCGCCGUCAUCCACCGCCCUGGUGCUCUCGGCGCGGUGUGGUCAAUGAUGUCCAUCCAAUGUCUGUAGUGCUUCUUCAACCUCUGGUCUUCUUGCCCCAGCCGCCCAAAGUAGCGCCGGUCGUGCCGCAUGCUCUUGCCUCCCGUGGCCGGCUGUGCUGCCGCGGAGGCCUCACCGUCACAAUACUACUCCCACCGCUGGCCAGGCCAUCCCUCCACUCACCCACUCCCCAUGUUAUUCUGCGAUGACGGCAGCCUCACACUGCAGCUGAACCAGUGAACCCUCGUACUCCUCUCCGCGUGGGCAUCCACUGCCGCGUCUUCCCCGUCUCCGCGUCGUCCCCUUCCUAGGCCUCGCCGUCGUCCACCACCGUGGUGCUCUCGGCGCGGCGUGGUCAAUGUGGUCAACGACCAACUUCCAUCGGAAGAGUAUUGUACGUGGAGAGGCUGACAGCUGGGUCCACGGCAGCCGCAAGGAAGUGCCUCCUUAUUACGCGCAAAAUAAUUAUUCCUCCACCUGACAGCAGGGACCCACCGGACGGGCCACCAGUAUUUCACGGAAAAAACGUUUCCCCCCUGACUGCUGGGAUCCACCGUACGGGCCACCGUAUUUCAUGAAAAAAAAUGUUUGCCCCUGACUGCUGGGACCCACCGGACAGGCCACCGUAUUUCGCGAAAAAAACGUUCCCCCCGUUGUCAGCUCGGACCCACCAGAAGUGCCUCCUUAUUACGCACAGAAAAAUGAAUACUCCCCCUGCUAGCUGGGACCCACCAUGGUGGGAGGCUGACUUGUGGGCCUACUAAGUUGACGGGGACGGAGGGCUUUGUCAACUUAGUCAAUAUGAAUGAUUCUAGCUCCAGUGACCGUACGAUGUCCAUCCAACGCCCGUCGUGCUUCUUCAAUCUCUACUCUUCCUGCUCCAGCCGCUCAAACAAGCGCCGGCGGGACUGCCUGCUCCCUCCUCCCCACGGCUGGCUCUGCUGCCACUCAGGCCUCACCGCCCCAUCGUACUCCCAUCGCUGGCCUAGCCAUCCCUCUACUCACCCACACCUGCUGUUAUUCUCCGGUGACGGUAGACGAACCAGUAAACCCUCGUACAGUCAUACUCCCCUCCGCGUGGGAAACAACUGCCAAGUCUUCCCUGCCUCCGUGUCGUUCCCUUCCUAGGCCUCGCCGUCGUCCACCGCCCUGGUGCUCUCGGUGCGUCCUGGUCAACAUGGUCAACGACCGACAUGCAUCUAAAGUGGACAGUACGUGGAGAGGCUGACAGCUGGGUCCACGGCCGCACGCAAGGAAAUGCCUCCUUAUUACACGCAAAAUAAUGAUUCCUCCACCUGACAUCAGGGACCCACCACAAGGGCCUCUGUAUUUCGCGAAAAAAACGUUACUGCCGCUGACAGCUCGGACCCACCAACUAUAUCUUCGCACGCAAGGAAGUGCCUCCUUAUUACGCACAAAAAAAUGAAUACUCGCCCUGUUAGCUGGGACCCAGUAUAGUGGCAGGCUGACUUGUGGGCCUACUAAGUUGAAGGGGAUGGAGGGCUUUGUCAACUUAGUCAAUAUGCACGAUUCUAGCUCCAGUGACCGUACGAUGUCCAUCCAAUGGCCAUAGUGCUUCUUCAACCUCUGGUCUUCUUGCUCCAGCCGCCCAAACCAGCGCCGGUCGUGCCUCGUGCUCCUGCCUCCCGUGGCCGGCUGCGAUGUGGCGGAGGCCUCACUGCCCCCUACUACUCCCACCGCUGGCCGGGCCAUCCCUCUACUCACCCACACCCCCUGUUAUUCUGCGGUGAUGGCAGCCUCACACCGCAGCGAACCAGUGAACCCUCGUACUCCUCUACACGUGGGCAUCCACUGCCGCGUCUUCCCCGGCUCUGUGUUGUCCCCUUCCUAGGCCUCACCGUCGUCCACCGCUCUGGUGCUCUCGGCGCGGCGUGGUCAACAUGGUCAAGGAAUGGCUUCCAUCGGACGUGGACUGUAUGUGGAGAGGCUGACAGCUGGGUCCACGGCCGCAGCAAGGAAGUGCCUCCUUAUUACGUGCAAAAUAAUUAUUCCUCCACUUGACAGCGGGGACCCACCGGACGGGCCACUGUAUUUCGUGAAAAAAACGUUUGCCCCUGACUGUUGGGACCCACCGGCUACAUCUUCGCACGCAAGGAAGUGCGUCCGGGCAAAAACAAUGAUUCGCCCCCCUGACUGCUGGGACCCACUAGCUACAUCUUCGCAGGCACGGAAGUGCCUGACAGUCGGGACCCACCUGGUCGAAGCGUACGUAGCGUUGUCAUUCUGGUCGCGAACGUGUACGUACAUAUAUACUGGUGGAUGUAGAGGCACGCACGUGUCGUAGUAGAGGUGUCUACGUGUCGUAGUAGAGGCGCGCACGUAGCAUGUGCACAUACAGACAGCGGCCAGGGUGCAAGAAACAAAAUACGACCACGUAUGUGUACAUACGGGCGGGGUCUCGAACGCCUACUCACGCAUACGUACGGCCAGGGCUCGUGCACAUGGCUGGGUCGGAACGGAGAAACAACGUCAUCGUCGUGUUCACGGGGAGGCAACGGAAUGCGUCGUGUUCAUGGGGAGGCAACAAAACACGUGGGAGCCAACUGGCUGGGUCGGAACGGAAUGCUUGGUCAUGUUCAUCGGGAGGGCUUGGAUGGAACAGGCGAUGGAAACGAGGCCUGGCGUACCGCACAACGGAGGAAACGGACCUCCUACGUUCGGAACGGGGUCCUGUUGAUUGGGAGGGGUCUGGCGUACCGCAAAACAGAGGAAACGAACCUCCUACGGUCGAAACGGGGGUCUGUUCAUCGGGAGGGGUGUGGCGUACCGCAAAACAGAGGAAACGGACCUCCUACGGUCGAAACGGGGAUCCUGUUGAUCAGGAGGGGUGUGGCGUACCGCAAAACGGACGAAGCCGACCUCCUACGGUCGAAAGGGGGGUCCUGUUCAUCGGGAGGGGUGUGGCGUACCACAAAACGGGACUCCACGGGAUACUGUUCUUCUCCACCAUCGACCUCCUCCAGCCUGCACAGGCUACCAUCGACCUCCUCCAGCCUCCACGGGCUCCUGUUCAUCCAGCCUCCACCGCGCGCUACUCCACCGGCUACUGUUCAACCACCCCUCCACGGGCACCCCUCCACCGUCUACUGUUCAUCCAGCCCUCCACACCACGGGGUCCUAUUCAACCACCCCUCCACGGGCACCCCUCCACCGUCUACUGUUCAUCCAGCCCUCCACACCACGGGGUCCUGUUCAUCCAGAGGCAAUGCCACCGCUCACUGUUCAUCCACCCCCCGGCAACGCUCACUAUUCAUCCAAUCGAUCGGCUUCAGUUAGCAGCAGUAGCGAAGGAAUCGCUCGAUCGGGUUCAUUUAACAGCCAUCGAUCGAUCGCUCGGGUUCAGUAAUGCGUAGCCUGCAGUGCAAUCGCUCGGGUUCAGUUAGAGCCCAACGCCUCGCUCAGGUUCCGUUAGAGCCAACGCCUCGCACACAUGCGCGUACGUGUACGAGAGAAACGCGCAUCGCUCAGCCCCCGACCUCCCACUGUAACCGGGAACUCCCCGAAAUUUUCCUCCCCCUCGCUUCUACCACGAUUUUUUCCGCCAUGGACGGCCCAAAGAAUGUCAUGCAGCUGCGUCUCCGGCCCGUCUAGGAUGAAAAGCCCAUUUUCUGUCAUGAUUUUUUGUCGUAGAAGUAGGAGCCCACCACAUCUAUGAUGAUACCGGGUUUUGUCACAAUUAUCGUCAUAGAAGUGUCAUAUGUAUGACGGAAUUUUUUUUCGUUCGGCCCAAAAUGUCACGGAUGUGUCUUUUUUUUGUAGUGCAUGUCCAUAUACCCAACCUGCAUGGCGGGUGCAAACCGUGUCAGAGUGGCCCAGUGAUCAGCUCGAUUGUUGAAAAGCUCCAUUCACAAGGCACGACUCUCAUGGUCCUUGUCCUCAAGCAUCUCUGUGGUGGCGCGGAGUAGCAAAUCCUCAUGGGAGGAGUCAGCGUAGGGAGCCUGGUAGUAACCUUCUGCACCAGGAAGUGAUGCUGGCAUAUAGAGGAACUCAGUGUUCCGAAGAAAAGGAAGUCUAGCUCGCAUGAUGGUCAUCUUCGAGUAAGCUGCGUCCUGCACGGACAUCUCGAUGGUAAUCCCAAGUCCAUAUGAACAAUGGAGGGAUUCAGUAGCUCCAGGAUAGGAAGGGUAUAUCCUGACUGUGCAAAUAUAUUGGCUCUGGUUGAAAUCUCGAUAUUGCUCCUCAAUGGUAUACUCAGGAUACCAUCGAUAGCCCGCCUCGGUCAUCACACGGACUAGCAUGGCCGUGUGACCAGGUACAUCGAGGCAUCGAGUCAAACGAACCACUUCAUUCUGGGUGCAGGUGGCCAUCUGAAAGCACGAAAUAAUGCAAAGGCAUUAGAAUUUUCUAGGAGAAAUCGGACAGCAUAACGGUUGUAAAUGCUCCGAAAAAGAUUUGAGACAUUCACAACAGUUGGCAAAACCACUCAACAACAUCAUAUCAAGGUUCUGGUUCAACUGACAACAUACUAAAAGUAGUAGAAACUGAACUGAGGCCUGGAAACAACAAUCCUAAGAUUCUAUGGAUUAGUAACACGUGAACCUGAUAGAAGAUGAGAUCCUAGACCUUAACCCACGUAGAAAGAGAAGAGGAUGACUCAGAUUAGAGGGCAUAAGGUAAAGGAGUAAAAGAGCCUUACGUUCCCUCCCACAAUCAAUUCCCCUACAUAUAACUAAAGCAUUUCUAGACUCGACAUCGACCAGUUUGGCUUAACGAACCUACAUGCAGUCCGGCUCUGAUGCCAACGUUGUCAGGACUCCGAUUCCAAGUCACACUGAUCUAGCCUGUAACACCUCAUAUCACUUUGCCGCCUCACGCAUGGUAUUCCCAAGGGUGUCGCCUUACCAUGGUCCGGGACCGUUUGCGCCUUUUGGCUCACAUAUAUGAUAGUGUCGCUAGCAUCCAUAUGACAGAGAACCCGGGCCGACAUGACUAGUCGUGAACCCAAAGUGGCACUAACUUACGGGGACAUGCAUACAUGAAUCAACAUCGAACAUGUCGAUCAACAGCGUAUGAAUCCGGGCUGUAGCAACUGGGCUAACAAGACUCCGGGAACCCGGGCUGUAGCAGGCUAACAGGACUCCGGAUGUCUCCACUUGACAUUUCCCCGAAGGGACGGACACAGGAACGAAGUGAAUCACAUGUCGGACAGUCAAGUGUUCCGGAGCAGUAGUGCUGGGCUAGUAGGACUCUGGUGAGCCGGGCUGUAGCGGACUACUAUGGCUCAUGGAAGCACAAGACUACAUUUCCCCAUAAGAGAGGCUACCAAGGAUAAACAACUAGAUUGUCGGAUCCCACACAUACCAAGCAUUUCAAACAUACACACAAUAUGCUCGAUAUGUGUAAAUACAACAUGGCAUCACAACAAAACUCUACAACUCAAAGUACUUUAUUUAGAAGGCUCCAGAGAGCCAUACAUCAUAUGUUCAUACAUGUAGGGUCACACGACCCGACACUCAAGUCAUACAAACAUACAAGCACAUGCGGAAGCAAACUUGUCUGAGUACAGACAACUAGAAAGCAAGAAGGCUUGACGAAGCCUGUCUAUCUACAAGGCCCUUCACGACUCAGGAUCACCACAUGGGUGGCAAGUCACUCAUCAACGUCGAGAUCUACAUAGAACCCAUCGAAGCGGGCGGUGUUCUCUUCUGCAACAGUAAUUAAGCAAACAUGAGUACAAAGGUACUCAGCAAGUAUUACAACAGAUCCUACUAUACAUGCAACAUUCUCAAGAAGGAUAGUGGGGUUAUUGCAGCAAGCUAGCUUUGACUCUUGGCUAAGCUAUCCUACGAGACAGCAACUUGUAAAUGUUUUGCGCACACGAGUCCACUACUCACCACAACAAUACACUAUCGUGGACCCUCCUCCGUCAUCCUACGGAAGGGCCAUCCACGACACUCACACUUGUCUUGAAGCUUUUAGGAGUAUCCAUUUACUUGUCUAUGAACUGUAUAGGCAACCAAGUAGUCCUUUACCGCGGACGCGGCUAUUCGAAUAGAUGAUGUUAUCCCUGCAGGGGUGUACUUCUUCAUACACACUCUCACCACUUAUCGUCGUUUACACGACAUGUACUCGACAACCUUCAAGCGGAAGCCCAACGAGGGUGUCGGCCACGGGCUACCUAUACACUCAAGUCUCUAGUCCAGGUUUAUCACCUAUCCAGGUUCCAUCCACAGGGAGUCCGGCCGAGGUUUCCACAUAUGGCCCCGAACGAUAUGUACAGGGUUCCGAGACACCAAACGGGCGCCCGGCAUACCCGGCCACGGUGUAUCUACUGCAUCAUAGCCCACCACUAGGGUCAGCGCUAUGCACGGCCGCCAACACAUAUCCUAUAAACACCAGAAACUAGUUGCAACUCCUGGACAGAGGACUAGGGUGGUUAAGAAGCCAAGAGGGCCAAUUAAGGAUCCCAAUGCAUGGUAGUAACUGGUUCUUAAAUCACACAUACAGAUCUCGGUGCUUAUGGACGAUUCCAAUGAAACAACCCACCAUGUACUCCUACAUGGCCUCUCAUCGAUACCUUUACCAAUUCGUGUUCAACACAUCACUCACAUUACCGACAUAUUCAUUUCACUCUAGUCCAUCACCCAGAUGAACCAGACCUGACACAACUCUAAGCAUAUCAGGCAUAGCAAGGUAGGAAACACAGACAUGGCUCAAUCAACUCCUACACAUGCUAGUGGGUUUCAUCUAGUUACUGUGGCAAUGACAGGUCAUGCAAAGGAAAAUGUUCAACUACCGCAGCACACAGCAGUUUGAAACGUUGUUGUCUUAAUGUAGUAAAUGAGAGCAGGAGCGAGAACAUGGGAUUGUAUCGAUAUGAUAGAUGGGGCUGCUUGCCUGAUGGAGUGGUAGUAGGGUACUGCCCUUCAGUCGGAUAUUCGUAGGUAUCCUCGAAGGCAGAACCUACCACGAAAGACACAACGGAACACAAUCAUCACAUGGCAAUAUGCAACAGUAUGAUGCAUGCUAUGACAUGGCAAUAUGGUUGUGUUUUGGAUAAUGCAUUCUAAAACAGGUUGGUUUGAGUCCAUUUGAAUCAAAGAUUCAAAUAUAAGCUCAUGACAUGAAGUCAUAUUAGUGCAUUAGGUUGUUUCAUUUAAACAAAAAGGUUAAAGUGUUCUGACAUGCAUGAAACCAUUACAUAAGGAAAGAUUGGAUUUUUCCGAUCAUUUUUCAUAUAUAAAUCUUUGCAUUUGGAGUUACAGAUUAAUUUCUAUGAAUUUUUGAAGUUUAGAACAUUUUUUGGAAUUUCUUUAUAAGAAUAAAUCCAGUAAUUGAAUUACUGCAUCAGCAUUGCGUCAGGAUGAUGUCCGUAGUCAACGGGGACGGUCCAGGUCAAACCUGACCAGUGGGUCCCACGUGUCAGUGUCAUUAGUUUAACUAAUUUUUAGUUAGUCCUAAUCCUAACUUAAUUAGCAGGCAGGUCCCACUUGUCAUAGACCUAGGGGGGUCAAAUUGGGCCCACCCGGAGUCAAACGCGGUCAGCGGGGUCAAACUCGCCGGCGUUUAGCCGCCGGCAAGGUCAAACGCGGCGGGGUAGUGCGGGAUUUGCACUCCGAUGACCAAAUGGACAGGGGAGGCCACCUACGUGUAGCUGGGAGCAAGCUGCAUCGAGUGGUGCUAGUGGUUGGGCUCGUGGUCGCCGGAAACGACACCGACGACGAGCGUGGCGGCAGCCAGAGCUCGGACGAGCUCGAACUCGUCGCUAGGAGGCACGGCGAGGAGCGUGGAGUGGUGCUACGGGCUCCUGCGGGUGCGGUGAAGACGAUGGCGUGCUCGGUUUCGAGCCAACAUGGCUGUGGCCACAACGACGACGUGCGGUGGCGGUGGCGGGUGCGUCCGAGCUUGGUGCGGUUGCUGCGGUGCUCGAGAAGGCGAACGGAGAGGGGGAGGAGGUAGCACGGCUCACGGUGAUCCCAACGAGGCAGACGGCGAGGUCGGGGACGAGCUGGUGCGGCGGUGACGGCGAAGGGGAUCUCCGACGGCGUUCGGUGAAGGCGAGGUUGAAGAAGACGGCGUAGGGCGUGCGAGCGCUCGGGGCUCGGCUAGCUCGACGAAGCGGACGACGGCGGAGCUCGUGGACAUGGCAACGUGGCACGGGGACGACAAUGGACGCGGGUUUCACGACGGCGCGGGCGCGGCAGCGUCGGCCAUGGCGAGGAGAGGGCGACAGAGAGAGAGAGAGAGAGAGAGAGAGAGAGAGAGAGAGAGAGAGAGAGAGAGAGAGGACUGAGCGAGGUGUCUGCGGGGUCGGGGCGGCGACGUGGAGCUCGCCCAGGUGUCCAGGGGUGAAGCGGCAAGCAGGUGGCGCGGUGACGAGCUCUCGCGCGCCGGCGUCACCUCCAGCCUGCCUGCCUAGCGGGAGGAAGCGGCUGGCUGGCACGGGCCAGCACAGUGCUGGGCCACCAGGUGGGCCGGGAGGUGGGCUGCGGGCAGGUAAGCUCUUCUCUUUUAUUUAAUUCUGUUUUGUUUUAUUUCCUACAAGUUUGUGGCAUUUCUAAAAAUAGCUAGGCACUUUCAAAAAUCACCAAACUUCAUAUGGCCACUGUUUGGAAUAAAUCCAACAUGUAACAUUUUAGUUUAGGAUUAUUUGAACAUUUAAAAUAUUUAUUAGCAUUUAAAUGCCCAAAUUCGAAUAACUAAUGAUUUAAUCUAGUGACCUUAGGAUGACCUAGAAAUUUGUGCACCAUUUUUGUCAGAGGUUUAGGACCAAGGCAAAGAUGAUGAACAUUUUAGAAGGGCAUUUCAGGUUCAUUGAAAAUAUUUUUAGUAAACCCUAGUUGGUUUCAGGGGGUGCUGGGGGUUCUGUCAUCCCCAUUUCCAAGUUUCUGAUAAUUUAAACAUGAUGCAAGCACUCUAAUGCAUGAACUAGCUUGGGUGUGAUAUUCGUCAAAGGGUCUGUGAUCGUAGUGUCACGUUAGCAGCAUCCUGUAGUAGUGAAUAUAAAGUGUUGAGAAAAAAGAGGUUUGGGAAUGGUGGCUGCUAACAAGGCUUGAAGGUUGCUCGACCCCUCUUGAUAGAGCCGUUUUUCUGUGACUCGAAUAAAUUGAAACCAAAGCUUUGAUUCGCUAGAAAACCACGCCUUUAACCAUUCUGUAGUGUGUGUGUGGGGGGGGGGUGUGUGUUAACCAUCGCCUCAAUCAAUCUCCGAGGAACCAAUGACCCCAUGUACACCUUAGCAACCAUCAUUAUUUCCACUAAUCACAUUUCCAUCACACCAAAAAUAAUAUUUAAAUAUAAAUCCACUUCUAGCUUACAACGCUUCAAAUGAGCUAUAUGCAAGAAAUACUAUUUAAAUAUAAAUCCACUUUCAACUUUCAACCAUCAUUAGUAGAAGUGUGAAGAAGUGUAAGAUAUGCGAAAAAUACUACUCCCUCUGUCCCAAAAUAUGAAAUGUUUUUGCAAGCUAAAACAGCUUGCAAAAAGGUCUUAUAUUAUGGGGUGGAGGAAGUAUUUGUGAAGUAGUGUAAUCCACUUUAUAAAUAUGCAAGAGAUACUACAAUCUUUAGAAAUACCAUUUCACUAUAAAUAUAAAUCCACUUUCAACUUUUUUCACUUAACAAAAAGAAUUAGUGAUGAGUUGGCUACUAGAUCAUGGUGGAUGCUUUGGCCUGUUUCUAACAACCAGGGAUAAAAUCUCCGCCUGCAUUACUUUUUCCUAAGAAGGAAUUUUAUUGAUUGUCAUAUAACUUUUGCGUACAAAUAAAGUUGUAGUUCAAUUUUUUUACCAACAGUGGUGCUAGCCCAAAUGGCUAGUGCCGCUAAUGUCAAUGGCAGAGUAAUGAGAUCGACUCCAACACUUGCAUCAUUUUUGGCAAAAGAAAUAGUAAGACGUUCAUUGGACCGACCACGUCAUAUGAAAAAAUAGAUCACGCAAGAGAGCAAAACGCGCUCAACGCCCACCUACCCUCAAAUCUAGUGGAAACGGAAACCUUCCCAUUAAGUAGCUAAUUAUUGCCCAUGACUCUAUGCAACCGCAUGAUUGCGACCGAAGGGCUCAUGGGUCGUUUGCCCGCAUCCCUAAACGCGGAGUUCAUUUUGGCGUUACUUGUGCUCUCACUUGUAGCAAUUAAUAGCAACCAUAAUUAUAAAAACCAUUAUGAUUAAGAUAAGUGUGACAAGCAAACCCAUCCGGGAUCCCUCAAAUAAAGUUAAAUCAUCCCGGUUGACCUCGUUCUCUUGUCAUCUCGAAGAAUCCUCCGCGAGUCGGGAUCAACCUCCACGGUCCCAUACGCGUGCUUCCUCUUUUAGAGGUGCGGAGUGCAUGGCCGGCGGUGAAAACAUGAUGACUGCGUUGGUGUCGGCGGAGGUGGAGGCCGAGAUGGACCUAGAGUUAUUGUCAACUCGCGUCGGGGUGCCCAACUUUGAGUUCGCCUUCAAUUCGGAGGUCUUCUCCAACAUGGUGAUGCAGAUAGAGGUCAUCACCGGCGGCGAUGUCGGUGGAGGGUCUCUCCUCAUAGGCGAUGACAAUAAGAAAGGUGCGUGGAGCCCACCCCUGGGUUCGAUAUGUUUGGCCAUUUAGAAUUGCAUGCAUAUUUAAUUCGAUGCAUACGUUAAUUUGUGUGGACAUAUGGGGUUGUUGCGCUUGAUUUGUUUUGAUUUGGAAUGGUCGGGUAAUUUCAUUUCAGCUCAGGCUGACCCUUCGUUAAGGCAGCUUACCGUGUUAGUAUAACAUGUGGGCAAUAGAGGGAACCCAUAAGUUAUGUGCUAAUGCGUGUGUUGAUGUGGUGUACACCUAUGUUAGUGCGACAUUUUCUUUGUUAAUCUAUGUUAGUUUGUUUUGUGUGCAUCGAAACAUUUAGGCUUUGUUUGGCCGUAGGGGAUAUAGGACCCGGGGAGACAAUUCAUGGUAGGAAUUUUUUUCCCAUCACACAGGAAUCCAUGGUAGAAAACCACAGCUCCGCUUACCAUCAUUUGGUUCAUUCACUAUGGGGGAAAGACGGGCAAAAGUUUGUCCUCUAGCAUAGACCGGCGUCAGGGUGACGGGCAGGAGUGCGCUAACUUGUCCAGAGACAACAUGUAAGAGGCGGGGAACUCCAUCACAAGUGGAAAGGCGUUUUUUCCUCCCAGGAAAUUCAUAGAAAGCUAACGAAUUUUUCCGUUCCACCUCUCGACCAAAUGGUACGACAGAAAAAACGGGGAAUGUCUACCACCGGGUGGGAGUUUCCAAGGAAUGGAUCCGGAUCCCAUCCCAUGCUGCCAAAUGAGGCCUUAAGGUCAUUGUUAGCCUGCUUGAUAACUAAUUUUGUUCAAGUAGUUCAAAUACUUGUUGCAUAGAGAUAAAUUUGGCACUAGCACAUAUGCGGUUACAUGGCAGAUCCAUUUGUCAGGGAUUAGUGAUUGAGGCAACAGUGAAACACCAGACUGCUAGUAUAAGUUUUGCACGUGAGAUCUUAUGUCGAUGGGUGAUCGUCAAGAUCAAAAAUUGUGGGGAUCCCUUUUUAGAGAUUCAGUCGGGGGUCAAACACUUUAGAACACUUGAGAGAUUGAGCCUUUAUUUAUCCAGGUUCAUGUCACCAAAAAGGUGUAACACUCUACGUCCUACAUGCUAGUUCUUACUUCUGAAGACAAGUGUUGUGUGUGUGAUAACAAGGUUUUCCUCCCCCUUGGGCUUCAGUUUGCCCCUUAUUUAACAUGAGAGGAGCCAUAGUAUACACUCUUUGGCGCAUGUGGUGUGAUCGGGGUCAAAUGCCCCCUCCUCUCGACCUGCCCGGGCCUAGCCAGCCUAGGCACCGUGUAUUUCAUAGGAGUUGGUGGCGUUGCCCUUUAGCGGUGCAAUGCCAUCUCUUUAACUGUGUCGCCGAAUCCAUCUGUCAUGAAAAGUUGAAUGGAGACCACCUAAUGGCAACUCCAACGCGCCGACGCAUUUUGUCUGUGCAUAUCCGUUUAGACCGAAAUUGACACAAAAAGGGCCCAAUGUGCCGACACAAACAAACGACCAUCCGUUUUCCAUCUGCCCAGGACCCACUUCUAGCCUGAAUUUGGGUCGGGUUUCCGUCGAUGCGCAUGAUACGAACGCGCGCCACGUCCACCCUUGUCCUCCUUCUGGCCCUUCCGUCGGUGAUGACGCCAGUUCUGAUCAGAUUCGCACCACGGCAUGUUGGGGUCGCACGUUGGAGUUGCCCGUUCUGGUCAGGUCCCGCCCCGCGACGUCUUCCCAGGUGGGCCCGACGCCUACAGCGUGUUUGGUUCAGGGGAAUUAAAGAUGGGGAAUGGGAGUUGAGGGGUAAGGAGAUUAAAAAUCCACUGUUUGAUUAGAGGGAAUGGGAGUUUAAGUGGGAAGGGGACUGGGAGUUGGGGAAGCCAAUUCCCACCGAUUUCUUCUCAGGGGGUACCCUGUUAAUUCGUGAGGAGAGUUUUAUCCCACGUCAAUUCCCAUCAUAUGCCAAACAAGGAAAUGAAAGUAAAAAUCUACUUCCCAUGCCUAAUCCCUUCAUAAACACUUUUAUGCAAACUCUCAUUCCUUUGCCCUAAGUGUUUACCAAACAGGCUAGUGUUGACGAGGGCCUCAACUUCCCGGCAGUCCUCGAGGUCGUUCCUGGUGGAAAGAUCCACCGGGCACCACCUGCCGGUGCCCCCCAUCGAAAGCGCCUCUUACGGUCCGGGACGUCGCGAAGGUCGUCGAUGCGGGCGGUGUCCGGGACUCCUCCUCCAACGGCACCGGUGGGUGUUCGGAGGAGAACGCACAUGGUCUGGAGCGCGGCCACCUUGGUGGCCUCGCCAGCGCCCGGCCGACGGCGCGCUGGUGGGCGCUCGACGUGCAGGCACCGCCGGGAGGCGCUGAGCCCCCUGCCGCUAGAAGACUGGCUGAGCCGCAACGAUGUCCCAUGCCAUGCCCAGUGGUUCCCAGCGUGCUGGCGGCAAAGGCCGCUGCCGCCGCUGUGCCUGCGAUCCACGGGAGGGCUUGGUUGAUGAUGAUUGAUGCAACAAAUAUUUAGUAUUUGGAUUUAGCUGUGGUGUUCAAACAUAUCAAUCCCCUGUUCCUGCAGAAGUAGAAUACAAUCAAUCCACUGCAACUGAGACUAGCCACAGGACAAUGGGUGCGAAUCACGCGACUCAGAAAACUUGAAAAGAUGCUAUCCCAGCUGACAGUUCUACUACUUGAUGUUAUAAUUCUAAUAUUCUUGUUACAAUUCCUGGUCAAGUUUGCAGUGAAGCUUUACAAAAGGCAUUGCCUAAGUUCGGCUUGUGUCAAAUACUUAUCUGACGAACUUAUACGAAAUUCCAGUAGGAUCCUUGGGAUGACAUCUAUGAUCUCUUUGCUCACUGAGCUACAAGCAUGCUUAGAUUGCUGGCUGCAGCUAAAUUGCCGUUCAAUUUUUGUGAUAUUAUUUUAACCAUUUACCACAUAUCUGAAGAGUGAUUAAAUGAAUCUGCACCAUUGAACAGAGUGUUUCAAGUAUUUUCACAGAAGAAAAUAUGUCCAAUGGUUUAAUUGCUUACCUUUUACUUCUCCUAGUUGUCUUGUAUUUCACUGAUCUUGGUAUUUUGCAGCUGAUAAUGGACAGAUAGACUGUUUCUCAACCAUGGCAAGUACACCAAUUUUAACAGUAAAGACCCUUCAUAUCAAUUCAGCGAUUCUUGCUGCAGGAAGUCGUUUCUUUCUAAAGGUAAUUUUAUAACCAUGUGAAAUACAUUUGUAUGAUCGGUUCAAGUUUCUGAUAAGCUUCAUGUUUCUUAGCUUUUCUCAAAUGGCAUGAAUGAAUCUGAUCAGACGCAUCCAAGAAUCAGGAUUGCUGAUUCAGGUAAUGUGAUAGCUUAACUGUAACAUUCUUCCUCUUAUAUUUUAUUCUUAUUUGCUACUUUGGUUGUGUUACUAUUUUUUGUCAUAAGAUUAUUUAUGGUAAAUAAAAGAUUAUCUUUUAUAGUCUCUGCACUUAAAUUUACUGGUAAUUCAGCAUGCACACUGUAUAUAUUGCAUGUACCAUGCACUAUCUAAAUAUCCACUGAGAUGUGUCGUCUCUUUUAGUCAUCGAUGUGGGCAAAUCGUGGAUUAAUUAACUCACUCUUAAGCAGGGAACUCUCUCUUAAGUUUAUUUUUUCAUAUGCAAUUAUCAGCCAUUGGAUCUGAUUGUAUUGAAUGAUUGAGAUCGCUUGGAUUCCUCCCAACUCAUAUGUUUUCUGUAGUACUAUACAUAUAAUUUUUCUGUGAUUAGAAAAAAAGUUAAUCUCCCAUGGAGCGUUUGUCAAUACUGUAAGUCAGUAGUCAACUUCGAAAAUUAUUUAGGGUACAAAAAGAGUGUCCUUUUUUUUGCUUAUUUGUUGAACUGCUCUCUUAUGAUUUUUCUGUUUUCAUUCUACUUGGAACAGAGGAAAAAGCCUUUAUGGAGCUUUUAAGCUUCAUGUACAGUGGAAAGUUGACAACAAUUGAGCCCACUCUUCUGCUCGACAUCUUAAUGGCUGCCGACAAAUUUGAGGUUCUUUCUUGCAUGAGGUACUGCAGUCAGCUGCUCAGAAGCCUGCCUAUGACCACAGAAUCUGCACUGCUAUACCUAGACCAUCCAUGCUCCCUUUCAAUGGCUGCUGAAGUUCAGAGUGUGGUAGGUGCAGCCAGGGAAUUCCUUGCUGAGAAAUACAAGAUUUUAGACAAGUGAGUGAUCCCCAUUUGAUGGAGCAAUUUUUAUUUUUCAUUUCGUAGAAAAAUGUAGGCAUUGGCCAUUGUAAUGUGCAUGAAGUGUACUCAUGGCAUGGUUUGUCCCAUUUCAGGUUUGAAGAAGUGAUGAACAUCUCUCUUUCUGGAAUCGAGGCGAUCUUUUCGAGCACUGACAUACAAGUAGCAUCUGAAGAUGCGGUAUAUAACUUCUUGCUCGAGUGGGCCCGUGCGCGAUACCUGGAACCGGAGGAAAGACGCGAGAUCUUGAGCAGCCGUUUGCUUCCGCUGGUACGCUUCAGUCAUAUGACAUGUGCCGCACUUCAGGAGAUCCUAGCAUGCACUGAUGAUGAUAUAGACCGUGAGCAAGUAACCAAGCACAUCAAUGAGGUCCUCCUCCACAAAGCUUACCCAACCCAGAUGGAAGGUGCUCUUGCAGCAGAUGUAUCAACUCUCGAUUGGCAAUCUGUUGAGCGAACUUACGGGUCCAAACAUGUGAAAGCGGUUGCGUUUGAUCGACCUUACCCACAGGUUAUAGUUUACAUGGAUCUAACGCGUGCCGAAUGCUCCGGAUUCUUCCCAUCAGGAGUUAUAUUGUCGGACUGGUUCAAUCUCGCAGGUCAGAAAUUCUAUCUCAUGGCAAACUGGGUACUGGAUGAGGAGACAGGGUUGUACAGCUUUGGCCUCUGGUUAGGGAUAUAUGGAAAUUCUAUCUCAGGCUCGUCGUGUUUCGAUAUUGAGUUUGCUGCAAGGACAAGAUCGUCAGGAAAAUUCUUGAGCAAGUACGGCGGUAGGCACACAUUCAGCGGGUCUAUGCUGGAGGGAUGCGAUGAUCUUUUUGGAGUUCCAUGGUCGACGUUCAUUGCGGACGACAGCCUCUUCAUUGACGGUGUGCUGCAUCUGAGAGUUGAUCUGACUGCGGUGGAGCAGCCUGAAUUACAGACCUGAUGGUAUUUCACUCAGCAAAGUUAGGGUGUGUCUUGAGCCCUGCAUGUGAUACUGUGAGCUGCUGCAGCAGCCAGGAAGUUUAUUCCCUGGGCAUUGUCCGGGGUAACCUGAAUCAUGUGUUGUUGUUGAUCGGUUGCUACUGCAAGUCAGUAGUAACAUGUGUGUGUGUGCGCUGACUGCUGACUUUUGUAUGUUGCUAUCAUACUUCAGAAUUUUAUUUAUGCCUGUGCGAAUGGUCUCUGUGCUGGGAAAGUGAGUUUGUUGGCUGAAUGAUGCAAGGAGAUUCCGACUUGGUGCUUCAACUGCUUU